GCACAUUCAGCUUUGCGAGACUCGAUACAUGGGCCGAACCCGUCUAAGACAGAUAACCAUUAUAAAGACCACCAUGUUCAUCUUUAUGUGCUAUUUGAAAUGCAUUUAUUUAGAAGGUUGUUUGAAGUUGACCAACUUUAAGAUGGUCAAUUGGUUAAGAAAAAAGAAAAGAUUUUUCCUUUCUUUUCAAAAGAAAUCCAUUUGAUUCAAAAUCUCAAAAAUCCCUUUUCUUCUUUUGUUUUUUGAAUUUGUAAAGAAAAUUCAAAUUAUUUCUUUUAAUUUCACGAACUACGGACACCUGAUUCUUACCUUGAUGAGAUACACAGGUAACCCUUAUUGGAUUCAGUGAUAUUCUUAAGGAAAAGUUUUGAAAAUAUUAAACCAUGACACAUUCAUCAUCACCAAAGUCAAAAUAGUAUUAAAGUGGUUGGUUUAUGGUUAAGAUGACAACUCAUUCAUAUGAUACUAGGUUCAAAGGCAAGAUGACCCACAUAGAUGAUAUAGAGUCUGACAAUGAAGUAGACCAAAAUCAAUUAAGUUCAUAAGAAUUCACAUCAAUGGAAGAGAAUAAGUUAUUGAAACAACAGAUAACAGAAAUGUAUCAAACUUGGAUGAAUGGGCAAGCCACGCCUUCCUUUAUCCCUGAACUUUCGAAUAAGAAUGAUCCAAGUUUCAGUCAAUCCCAAACUGGUAAUCUACUUUACCCAUUUAGAUUUGGCCUAUACACUAGUGUGUAUAGUGUGGUUGGGAACUCUACCAUGCGUCUUCCAAAUCUGUCUCUCACAAAUAACUCAUUUUUCAUUCUGAUAGUUACAGCUAAUGCAGGACCUCAUUCGAGGAUACAGAGGCCUGUAGGUAAGCCAACCCAUGAUCAAUUCUAUUCUCCUAAAUUGAAUAGCAAACCCCCAAACUCAUAUUAAUCUACUCAUCACCACAUUUCUUCUAACUUGAUUGAGAAGGCUAUUAAGAAUACGGAACAAGAAAACAUGGCCAGGAAAGUGAGAAGUUUAGAGUGAAAUAUGAGAAAUAUGUAAGGACUAGAAGGGAAAAAGAGCAUUUCAUUCAAAGAUUUGUGUAUUUUUUUUAUGUCCAUUUGUCUCUAGGGUUCAAAACUCCUAAGUUUGAAAAGUACAAGGGAUACGACCUUUAGCUCAUUUGAAUAGGUUUUAUAAUCAACUAAGAGGAGCAGGGGAAAAAAAACUGUUGAUGGCUUACUUUGGAGAAAUUUUGUCAGGGAUAACUUUGGGAUGAUUCAUUGACCAAGAUAUCUCUCAUUAGCAUGUUUGGGAUGACAUGACUCAGGAUUUUGUCCAACAAUUUCAAUAUAAUAUUGAUAUGGCGCCAGAUCGUACCAUAAUUGCUAACAUGAGAAAAAACGACUAAAUUUUUUUGAGAAUAUGUUGUUAGAUGAAGGAAACAAGCUACUAGAGUUAAGCCAUCAAUAAAGAAGUUUGAAUUGAUUGAUAUUUUUCUCCAGGCACAGGAACCUAACUAAUUCCAUCAUUUGCUUUGCACUAUUGAAAAUACGUUUACAGAGGUUAUUCAGAUUAACGAAAUGGUAGAAAAUAAAAUUAAGUCCGAAAAAAUCAUAAGUCAAGCCCCUAUAAAAGAAAUAAUGCAGGGAAUUUAAAAUGGUUUGGAAAGUUUUAGAGAAAAGAAAGAAAGGAGGUUGAGGCUACUAUUGUGUCAGGGCAGCGACAAAGUCCAAGAGGUCCGCACCACCCAUACACGCAAUCUCAGUCUCAAAACCAUAGAACCAUCCACAAUACUAUAUUCCUUCCCAAAAUCCAUUAUAUUCUAUUCCAUUCCCUCAAUAUCCUAUUUAUAAUGCACAACCAUAAGCCCCAGCUGCUUCUUGUUGACACCCAAUUUUGACCGCCCAAUACUCCUUUUUGGCUGCUAUUUUAUCAAAAUUAUUAAUUUUAAAUCUUAAUAUUUUCUAUGCAUUAUUUAGUAUCGAACGAAAUUUUGACGUUUCACAUUCACAAUUUGAAAAUAUACAAUUUAUUUUUAUUAAUUUCACAUUAUCAUUUUACUUAUAAAUUAUUUAUUUAAACAUAACAUUUAACUUAAUUUUGUUAAUAUGUUUUAUUUAAUAUUCUCACCCAUAAAUUCAUAAACAUUUGAUCUUAUUAUUAUUUUAUUUUUUAGUAUUAUUGUUAUUAUUAUUGAAAUAACAACCAUUUUUAAACUUGUGUAUUUUACUAAUUUAUAAUAAUUUUAGCCUAAUUUUUUCAAUUUAUUAUGAUCAAUUGGACUCAAUUUAAGUUUUCCAUCCAUUUUUUAAAUCAAAUUCUUAAUCAUCAGAUCUUAGUGAUCGAUCAAUAUUGAUCCAAUGGCUGAGAUCAAACUUACCUUUCUUUCCUUUUAUAUCGAAUGCCCAAACCCUAAUCCUUAUUUUUCAUCAAACAACCGCACCCCCUCUAUAAUUUUCUCUCUUUUCUCCCUCUUCUCUUACUAAAUAAGUCUGUUGAAACAGCCGCGAGUGAACGGCUGCUGCCGCUGCUUCAUCAUUGCCACCACUUUUAUUUGCCUCUCAACUCUAUCUCUUCUCCCUUACCACCGGUGAACCUAUCACCGGAUUCCUCCCUUUGUUCUCCCAUUUUCCAGCCGUGACUCCAGUCAGCAGAACUACCAUGACCCGCCGCGGCCAGCGUCUCUGCCCACCAGCUAACCAGCGCCACCUUUAUUCCCUCUCCUGCUACCACUUCCAGCCAUCUCUAGUCAUUGCUCUAUCAUUUUUUUUGGUUGGCAAAAAACUAGCCAACCAGCCAGUUAACCGGCGAGCCUCUACUGGGCUCCGCCUCCCGUUUUUCUCCAGAUCUGGACGGAACAAUCUUUAUCGGCACAGCAUCCAUCGAAAUCGUUGUUAGCUCUAUCUUUGAUCGUUUUUGCAUUUAAAAAUAGUAAUUUGUUAGUUAGGUUUAGUGUGAAAAUUUAUUUUAUUACUGCUAUAUUUUUUUGUGUGAUUAUUUGGACACCAUUCUAUUCUUCAUUAUUUUGUUAUGCUCAUUACAGUGAUUUGGUUGUCCUCCGAUGACCAUAAGGUAGUUAUUUUAUUUGUUUAUUUCUUGCUUAUUAGAUGGGACUGAUCUUGACAUAAAUUCUGUCUUGUUCAUCUACAAUUAAUUGUUGUUUGCUGAGAGUCAUCAUUCUUCAUAUGAUUUUGAAUAUAUUCAGUUACCCAGUUAGGGUAAUUUCCAACUGAUCCAGUGCUUUAUUUACUGAUUUUCCUAAUUGUUUAUUUUUGGAAUAAAUAAUUUUACACUCUUGAUCAAUUCAAAGAAAAUGAAACCCUUGUCAGAUUCCGAUUUAAUAACAUGUGAUUUUGCUUUCCUUUUUUUUCUUAUAAUGAGCCUUGUUGUAGCAGUUAUUAUGGUAAUUUCUUGUCAUUAAAUGUGAUAUUGAUUAAUUAUUUUGAAUAUUUCUUUACCUUUUUUAUUUUCUUGUCUAUUGCCUUGUCUUUCCCUUAACUUGGACAACUUUUUCAUCAUCUUAUUUUUGAUAAUUUUGACAUAAUUUGUGAUGCUAUUUUAAUUUUGCCCAUUGAAUUAAGGGAAAUAACUUUUACAUUGAUUUAUUGAAUAUUCUCUCUUUCUUUUCUAUUUUUACCUUUCAUAAUUCUUUUACUAUAAAAAGAGAACCCGCUUCUCUUAUUCGGACAGAAUACUUCUGAUCCCCUCUACACUUUAAAAGAAAGAUAGUUUUUGGUUACUCCCUAAACAAAGUAUGUAGAAGCUUUUUGUAUAUUUUAUUUUCUACACGUUAAGUAAGAUAGCUCCCCCUCAUUUGUGGUUUGCUUUAUUCUUCAAAUACAUAAGGAAUUCUUAUUAUUACUUCAUUGCGGCUUAACUAGUUACACUCUAUCGAUAUUUUUUUAACCUCUUGUGUUGUAGUAUUUGUGAUAGUAAAAGCAUAGAAAACAUGCCUCUAGAAACUAAGUGGUAUUUGUACGUCAUUUGCUAUGCCUUUGUUACCUUGUUUUUGUCUUUUCAAAGCCAUGUGUGGGGUAUUCAAUUCUUUUCCUUUCUGCUAUUUUAUUUAUGCCAAAUAGGUAUAAUUAGAGCUAUUGAGAGAUUUGAAGAGAUGCUCGGGAGUUUGGGGAUGGGAUGUCUUUUUAGUUUAGUCUUUCUUUAUUAUUCAUUUGAUCUGUGAUAAUGCCUUGUAUAAAUGCUACUGGUGUAAUAAUAAAUUUGGGAGUGCUUGGGGUGGGGAUUAUGUGCUAUGUGAAUCUCUUAGGCAAAAAUUAAUCAUUUUUCAGUUCUUUAAAAUAACUUCCUAUAACUGUGCUGCCUUUAAAACAAUUUCCAGCAACCAAGUUUUGUUUUCCACUCCUUUAAAAAUAAUUUUCAGCAAGGUAAAAUUGCAUUUUCAGCAUUAACAAUAAUUUUCAGCAACCAAAACUAUAAAUUUAGUACCCAAUUGGUCUUAUUGCGUUCAAUUAGCAUUGUUGUCAAUCAAUCCAUUUAAGUUCUUAGCUUGUUAAUUGUCUUUUCAGUAUAUAAAUACAUUUUCUAGCACCUUUUAAUACACCCAUCAAUUCCCGCCAUGUUUGACUUUUAUUGAAAUUGAUUUAACCUGCAACAUAUUUACUGACAUGCUUCACAUUUUAACAAAUUUACGACAUUGUUUCAAAGUGGUUUGACAAUUACUUUUCAUCAAUAACUAUUACCUUUCACAUCGAUAUCAUGUUUAUAGACCUAACUAAAAAAAUAAUUAAUUAUUUGUUGAACAUGCCAAUCACCUUAAUCACUAUUAAUUAAGCAAGAGGCUUAUCUGUGACUAUUACGUGCUAUUUGACGUCUUAUGUGUUUUACGCUUUGAGUUUAACUAGAAAAUUUAGUUUCAUUUGUCUAGACCCCAAAUUCAAAAUAUUAGAGUUCAAUGCCUCUUGGACGAUAGGCUGGGACGAUAGACAGUUUAGAGGUGUUAGUUUUAUCCUUUCUUUUUAGAAUGCUUUUAGGUUUGACAACCAACCUAGGUUAGGGGUGGGUAGAAAUUCAGAAGUGAUGAUACCCAAACAUAUAUUAACUAUACGAUGUAUGACAUUAUCACUUGUCUAGAAUUCAACUGCUGGCUAAUGAGCCGGAUAAUGAUUGACGAGUUGGGUGUUGAUCCGAAUAAAACCAAAAUAAUUCAUUGGUUUGACUUUUCAAAUUUGUUCUUUUAUUUACUUUACAUGCUUAUUUAUUGGCGGUAGUUGGUUUAUUAUAUAAGCAAUUUCUUUUUGCUAUAACUUGUGUUGUCUCUAUCUUCACGCUUGUCUUUUUUUGAUUGUUUCUUGUGUUGUUCAUCACUUAGAUAAUUAACAACUAGGAAUAACCAAACAACAUGCCUGUUCACUAAUUAUUUUACCACUUAGUAAUAUUAAGUUAAUAAAAUAAGAGACCUCUUGCUUAUCACAUAGAAUUCCCGUAUAAAGUAUGAAUUCGGUCGGGAACCACCUUUGUGUACCUCGAAAGGUGCCUGACACCUUUCUUUCGAGGUAAUUAGAACCCUUACCUGAAUUUCUGGUGAACUAAGACUAAACAAUAAAAUAGGUUCGUAAUUAGCCUAAAAUGGUGCCCUAAUGCACCUUAACUCAUUAGGUGGUGAAUCUUCACUUCCUCAAACAAUUCCAAAAAAGAGUAGUCACGUCAAAUCCUGCUUUUCACGAGAAAAAAAAUGGUGCGACAGAAUGACGACUCUGCUGUGGAUACUUAGGUUCUAACUAUUAUGAAUUUGUAUUUUAUGUGUGAUUCUCUCUAUUUGUAUAAAUUUAGUUUUGAUGUUUGGGUAAUUUUGUUUGAUUUUAUCAUCAUGAUUGAUUUUUCAAUAUGUUCACUUUUCCUCUGUCCUUUUACGUAUUUUUAUAUAUGUCCCUUCAUAUUUAUCUCUUUUUUCUUUUUCCCUUUGAUAUUUGACUAUAUGUUGUGUUAUUUUUUUGAAUAUGUUAUUAUAUUUUAUCUAUGUGCUAUAUGUUACUGCUUUCCAUAAACUGUUAUUCCGCUCAUAUUCCCUCCACUUGGAACCUUCUUUAUUUUUUUUUACGAAUAGUAGCAUGGUUGUACGAACGUUCUUUCCUAAAACACCCUUUGGAAAAUUUCUUGUGGAUCGGUCGAGAGUCACAAGCUUUUCCCCUCUCAAGUUGUCUGCUUAAGGGAACCUUGUCAAUAACCACUCUUAUUCUCUAGAGGUUAAUCAUAUAUUUCUUUACUAAGGAAUAUACAUCCUUAUAAAUCUAGCAUGUCUUCACGGCUUAUAUGCAUAUGUCAAAUUGAUUAUUUUGUUUAAUUUGUUCUUGCAUUUGUAUUUGACAACCUUCCUUGGUUAUUUCGCCUAUAAUUCAUCUUCACCCCACUAUUUGAUUUCUCUAAGUCUCAGAUUUUGAACUACGUUUGACCUAAUUCUUGUUCUAACAAGAUACGUAGGCUAUCCUUUGUAAGGGUGCAAUUUUCAUUUCUCCUUUAUUUUACAAAAUAUCGUAGUAUUAAAAAAUGUUUCAAAUAGCUUUUUUUCAAAUCAUAUUCUCUAUUUCUUUCACCUUUCCAUAAUGUCAUGCGGGUGAAAAUUAGGACCUUUUUUGGAUUAUUCAAAUGACUUUUCACAAUCUUUCAAAUUCUAAGAUGUUUCAAACUAAAUACUUCAAAAAUUUUCAAACUUGACAAAUCUUUAAUUCUCCCAUUUCCUCGAGACAAAACCUGUUUAAAAAUUCUAUGUGCAUCUUUUAGACAUCUUACCAUUAUUCACUCCAUCAGCUCCAAGUAUAAACUUAGUACCUAGGUCUUAUUUAUUAUCUAUCUUCUAUCUUUUGACAUAAAUUCACUUCUCAUGGUUAAUUUCUAACUCACCCUUUUUGGACAAAAUGACUCAUAGUUUCAUACUAUCUAUUUUUUAUGGGAUACACUGACUUUUGUUUUGUUUAAUUUACUAUUUUAUUUAAAGGUUGUCUAGCAUUUGAACACCGAUCUCAAUUAAAUAUCUACAAUAUGACAUAUAUUCUCAAUAUCCAAAAGGAUUCAGUCCUCUUUCUCCUCUCCUAAGGCAAACCGUUGUAUCUCAUUAUUCUCGCCUUACCCACACACUCUAUCUACAAUUUCCUUCAACAGGCAAACCGUUGUAUCUCAUUAUUCUCGCCUUACCCACACACUCUUUGUACAAUUUCCUUCAACAUGCAUCACUUUUGAACAAUGAGAGAUGCCACUAGUCUCCAUUUAUUCGCCUUAUGUCUAAUAACAUUUUUUAUCUUAUCUACCUUUCUUUGUACUCUUGAACUAUGUCUGACUUGACUUUCAUUUGGAACGUAAGUAGUCCAUUUUGGGUCCAGUCUUAAUCUAAUAAAAAAUUUCUUUCCCCUCUCUAUCCAACUCAAAAACUAUUCCAAAUUUCUAUACCUUUAAUAGUCUCGAACCUUGAACAUAUAAAGGCAAAUUCCAAUCGAGAUCACAAUGUUCAAAUGUAAGAAAACCAUUUCUCUUGAACUAAUGUUUUCUUUGAGUGAAACAGGAAUAUAGACUCCAAAAGCAAAAAUUGAGUAGAAUUUUGGAGGUUUUGAAGAAACCUUAAAGAUUUCACAAGGAAGCAUUAUAUCAAUUUGUCAGGACGUGCAAAAAGUGUUUUAUCCUAAACUGGGACAUAAAUUUUUGAGGAUUCUUUAAAAUUUCACCAUAAUAGAGUACAAGUCCCUUCUGUCUAUGGAAUAGAAGACAAUGACAGGGAGUCAAACAGAGGAAGAGAUGAAUCAACAUUACUUUUUGACUAACAAUUUUUAUUUGAAUACAGAGAGUAGGUACAAAUGCAGUAAUUGCCUUGCAACAUCAUCCAAGAAAUCCUAAACCACACCCUUGAUAUGUGAAAGAAGGCAUGUGGUCAACACAAUCAAUUUUUUUUUUUUCAAAAAGUCAAAACUGGGGUAGAUUUGUAAGGAUCCUCAAAACUAUUAGACAACAAGGACAACAUCAAACAAAAUACACUUUCUUAUCUCCUUUUAUCGUUAUUGUUAUUUAUUAUGGUUGUUUUCACGCAUUGUGUAAUGUUCUAUGUGUAUAUCUAUGCUAACCAUUUUUAUCUAGUUAUGUUAAAAGUGACAGGUAAAAUGAAAAUCAUUUGAGAAUUACUUUUCUCCCAAUUUUGUUUUUUUUUUCAAUAUCCCAACCUAUUCAUAUUUCAUCUUUCAAAACCGCUCAUAUUCCGACCUUGCAAACUUGUGCUUCACAUUCCUCAAUUUUCUUUAGAAAUCACAUUCAUUCCUAAAUUGGAACUACGUUUGACCUUAUUCUUAUUUAAGAGGGAUACGUAGGCUCUCCUAUAGAGUUUGAUCGUAUUAUGAUAAAACACUGUUAUAUCCCUCUGUGAGCAUUGCAAUUGGGGCAAAAUUUUUGAGGGGACCUCCAAAAUUCUGUAGGGAAUGACAUUGGCAUAACUACGAACUAGGGCAGAAGUUUUUAGGGGACCUCAAAAAUUUUGUAGGGCAUGACAUUGGCAUAACUACGAACUAGGGCAGAAUUUUUGAGACAACCUUUAAAAUUUUUAUAAAUAGUCUUCUACGACCUCCUAAGACAACUUUACUGGGGCAGAAAAUUUUUAAGUGGUCCUAAAAAAUUUUAUAACAAGAGAACAAUGUCUUAUAAGAUGUUGUAUUGUCUCGAAUUUUGUCACAAUCAAUGAUUCAACAACAUUUUAUUUUUAUUUUAGUUUUUUACUUAUCACUUUCUAAAGACAACUAUUUGCAAAAUUGAUUUUCUUUAAAGACAUUUAUUUUUUGUCUACCCGAGUGAAGAUCGGGACGAGGCCCAUUAAUGGAAAACAACAUCAAGAAGAAGACACUUCAGUCUAGGCAAAGGCAUAAAUUAACCUCCCCUUUUUACAAACUCACAAUUUUUCUCUAAGUACAAGAUUAACUGGUACAAGUGACAGGAAUCGCUAUACGACAACCUGAAUGAUUACCAUUAUGAUAGGCCUGACAGAUAAUCCCAAAAUACAUCGAGAAGCCCAACAAUUGAUCUAACAUUGUAUCGAGAAGCCCAAAAACUGAUCUAAUAUUGCAUCGAGAAGCCCAACGGCCGCUCCAACAUUGCAUCAAGAGGCCCAAUAGCAGAUCCAAUAUCAUAUUGAGGAGCCCAACAGCUGAUCCAACAUUGCAUCGAGAGGCCCAAUAGUCGAUCCAACUUUGCAUCGAGAGGCCCAACAAUCGAUCCAACAUUGCAUCGAGAGGCCCAAUAGCCGAUCUAACAUCAUAUCGAGAGGCCCAAUAGAUGAUCCAGCAUCAUAUCUAAAGGCCCAAUAGCCAAUCCAACAUCAUAUCGAGAGGACCAACAGUCGAUCCAACAUCAUAUCAAGAAGCCCAACAACUGAUCCAAUAUUAGAUCUAGAGGCCCAACAGCUGAUCCAAUAUUGCAUUGAGAGUCCCAACAACCGAUCCAAUAUCAUAUCGAGAGGCCCAAUAGUCGAUCCAAAAUCUUAUCGAGAAGCCCAACAACUAAUCCAACAUUGCAUCAAAAGGCCUAACAGCUGAUCCAUCAUCAUAUCGAGAAGCCCAAUAGUUGAUCUAACAUCACAUCGAGAGGCCCGACAUCUGAUCCAAUAAUACAAAAGAUAUGCUUUCUUUACCCUCAUAUUUACUUUAUGUUUAUCAAAUUUUUAUCAUUACAUGCCCUAACCUUAUUAUCUAGUAUACUAUAAAGAAUACAGGUAACAGAAAAGGAGUAACAAACAAGAAUAAUUUUUGUUCUUGCUUUCAAAAUAUCAUCCCAUUUAUUCAUCUGUAACGUGAACUCAACCUGAAACUCACGUACCUCAAUAUUUCCAAACUCCUUCUUACAUCAUUGUUUUAUUCUAUUCAUUUCCAUCUCAUUGACCCAUGAUAUCAUCAUUAAUGCCCGUCUUUUAGCAUUCACUUUCUUUAGAAAUAUUAUUCACUCCUAAAUCUAGAACUAUACGAAGUUUGAUUCUCAUAAAAUCAGAGAUAUAUAGAAGCCUUAAAAUCAAAGUCUCGAACACACUAUUUUAAAAAGAAUCACCUCACUAUAAGAAAUCAGGAUUUUUGGAGGCGACAAAACUCGCCCCAAAAGAACCAAAAGUCGCCACUAAAUAUUUUCAGUAGCGACAACUACGCCGUCGGUAAUACCUCUAUAACUAAAGGUUAUUUGUGACGGCAAAGUGAAGUCUCUACAAAAAAGAGAUGUAUUUGUGAUGGCUUCUACCACCACAAAAGAUAGAAAAAUUUGCUACAAAAUAUAUUCUAAAAAAUGCAUUUGGGUAAGGUCGCCACUGAUAUAAUAGAAUCAGCAGCGAUGCUAUCACUGUAAAAGAACCAUAAAUUGUGACGACUUUGUUGUCACUACAAAAAGGGCCAUCAAUUAUAAUGACUUUCUUGUCACCACAAAAGGACCAUCAAUUGCAAUCACUUUCUUGUCGCCACAAAAGAACCAACUAUUGUGAUGACUUUGUUGUCGCCGCAAAAGAAUCAUCAAUUGUGAUGACUUUGUUGUCGCUGCAAAAGAACCAUCAAUUGUAACCACUUUCGUGUUGCCACAAAAGACCAUCAAUUGUGACCACUUUGUUGUCGCCACUAAAACAUCUAAAUUAGUCGCGGCUUUUUCGCCAUAAAAUCAAAAUCAAUAGUAACCACAUAUUUUCAAUUCAUCACUAAAACCUAUAUUAUUAGUAGCAACCUAUCUUGUUACUAAAAAGAACUUACACUUGUAUAACCACACAAAAUUGAAUUUGUACCUGUAUUAGACAAAAUUGACAACAAAUCUUAAGAACUUUAUAUAAUAUUAGCUAGUAAAAGCAUCCAAUAGUAUUUUAAAAAAUCAUCCUCCAAUCAAAUAUUAUAAGUACUUCCCUUAAUAAGAAGUCAACGACAUACAGGUUAAUAACAAUUUGUGCUUUAGUUUUAUCAUAUUCAUACAUAUGAUCAAAAAUCAAAAAUGCAUUCCAAGCCUUCAUGGUCCUCCUUGGUCAACCUAUAGUUUAAGAAUGUACCUGCCAUUAAAAAACAUCAAAUCACUUUUUUUUACUAAAAAGCUUCAAAUUAAGAGGCUUUUGCCUAACUUAAAAAUAAAAAAGCAAUUAUCGAUUUCCUAUAAGAGAUUGAAUUUAUUUCCUAUAAGAGAUUGAAUUUUACACAAAAUAAAAUAAUAACACCCUAGAUUCAAUUUUGGUAGUAGUUAGCAGGAUUUGGAAGUAAUGUUGUAAAUUAAAUAUGGUGUUUCACUUUUAGUACAACCUAUGUACAAAAGAGCAAUAACAUGUUUAAUUAAGAUCAAUAUAAGAAGAUACUAAAGAGUUUACCAUUACUGUAGGUGUAUAUAGGGACAUGCCUCAAAACUAUACUUGUUUACCUUAAUUAAUAAGGUGAGCUAAUCAGUAAUAUGAAGGAUAAGAUUCCACGAUGAGAUGCAAUUUUCAUAUGAAUAUUGUGUGAUAUGUAUGUUUAAGAUGGAUGAGAUCAUAGAAGAUUGGACAUGAUUAGAAAUAAUUACAGCAAACAAAGGGUGCUAAUACACACAGAAAAUGAAAUGCAAAAAUGCAACAUGAGGUGGGAAAUGCACUUGACAAAGCACUUGAAAAAGCACUAGAAAUUGAGAGUUAAAUGACAUGAAAAGGCAGGUACCAGAGGAAGAAUACAAAAAAAGAUCAAGGGAAGGAUUGCUCCGAGAAACUCUCCACAACCAUUGAGAUGUUUCUGAGAAACAGAGCACUGUUCAGAUGUGUAAGACCAAAUUUUUCUGCAUACUCAACAACACAUCCAAUGGGAUUCCACGGGUGGGGUCAAGAGAGGGUAGAGAGUACCAGACCUUACCUACCUCAUAGAGGUAGAGGUUGUUUUUGAAAGACACUUGGCUUAAGGGAUGCAUAUCAACAUGAAAAGUAAAAGCAGAAAGGAAUAUAGACCUAAAUCAUAUAGUCAGUAGUUACUAACAUCUACAGUUACUAACAAAGUCGCAAGUUCCCUCUAACAAAACAUUCUCAUAACUUUUUCUCCACAGAAGAAAUAGUUGAAAAUUUUACUCUCUUCGACAACCAGCCUAUGAAAUUCUGUCUCAUGGUUUUGUGAAUCUCAUAUUGAUGUUUGUAAUAGGCAAACAAUGGUUGUCUCCAUCUCAAAUAAUUCAGCAGAUCUAGCUCCUAAUGUUUUUUGCAUAUGUUGUCCCUUAUCAACCUGAGUUUAUAACUUAACAAUGCAUAACUUGUUACGAACCAACUCACAUGACCUGGUGAAAAGCUCUAGCAACUUUUCUUCUGGAAAAACUUCACCGCUAAGAUAAUGAAAUGGUUGAAUGAAACAUAUUUUGAUUACAUUUUCACAGAAGCUUCUAUUACUCGUUUUACAGUCUUUCUCCGUUAUUCAAUGUAUACUUAUUCGUGCCUUUCGCUAGGUUGGUGCUUUUAAAAUUCCUCAACCUCAAAACCUGGCUAGUCACCAUGUACAUAUUUUCUAAGAAAACCUACCUUUUUUUCUAAAAAAGUUCAAUCUUAAAAUUCUGUCGUCAUAUUGUGCACGAGUUUUCCAUGCUUUAUCCGCCAUUUCCUGUGACAUUUUUCGCUUUGUAUAUUUGAAUUGCAUUAUGGUCCAUCUUGCUCAUCAUAAAUAUAAUGCUGCAGAUGGAUGGAAAUGUUGCUUAUGCUAAGUGAUUCCCUUCCUAUUCUUUCCAUUUAAAGGCUGCUUGACGUCUGAUUUAAGAAAUUGCACCUCUUUAAGUAAAUUUUGUCUGAAUAUUAGUUUUAUUUACUCCUAAACAUAUCUGUGGCUCAUUUUGUGACAUUCUCUUAUGCAUUUAUAUAGAUAUUUUCUCUAUUAUUUGUUGCAGGUUGCUACCUUAGGUAGGAUCCUGGGACCUAGAGGACUCAUACCGAACCCAAAGGCUGGUACUGUCACUACAAAUAUACCUCAGGUAAAUUUUCAAGUAUUCUUUACUUGUGAAAGAAAAUUAAUCAGAAUACUGGAGGAAUCCGUAGAUAUUUAUAUAGAAUGAAUAAAAAACCACAUAUAUGCUAGAUGGAAGUCAUUCAGAGUUUGAGAAAAUGAAAAACAAACUCAUAAUUAAACUUUAUAUGUCAAUAUCAUCAGCUUUAAGAACAUAAUCUAUAAGUUUUUGACAAAAUUUUCACUAUAACAAGCUCAUAAGUAAAGCAAACAAAGCUAUACAUUCGCAAAGGAAUAACAAAAAAAAUAUCUCUAAUAGUUGUAUUUUGCAUAAAUUGAAGAAGACGCCGAUGGAAUUGAAACCGUGAGCAAGCGGAAGGCGGGGGAGGAAGUGUGGUGGAGUGGGAACAAAAGAAACUGAAAUAAGGCAGUGAUCUACCGAUUAAGGCAGUGAUCUGCCGAUUAAGGCAGCGAUCUGCCAAUUUCAAGGACCUUAGAAUAUAUAAAGAAAUUGAAAUAUAUACCAUCUAUCUAUACCAGCUAAAAUUACUAAUGUUUAUGUAGUCAAGGUAAUAUCAAAAAUCAUUCUUACGAAAGUAAAUGGUGACAACAAUUUUCACCAUAAGCAUAAGAUGUAAUAUGAGUCGGUCAAUCAUUCAUCUCCUGAAGUCUCUCAGAGCUUUAACUUCCCUGAUAACAUAAUGUUUCAACUGUCGAGAUUAUGUCCAGCAAUUCUAAUUGUAUGAUCUUUUACAUUUUGAAGGUAAGGGUGUACACUCCAUGUCAAGACGAGGAAGAGAACCUCUUUCACAAUUAAUACAAGUAAUGCCAUACAAUUUCAGAUAGCUAGUGGGGGAUAUCAUUCUCUAACUUUGACGGGUAGAUUACUGUGAAACUACUUUAUCUUACAUGUAUCUCUCAUCUAUGUAUCUGAACUUCUUACAUUAAAAGUCAGCCCCUAUUAAGGGUAAACAUGUCAUAAUCUGUUUGAAUAGAUGCAUAACACAGGACUAGAUGCUACCGGUGCUUUUCAUGACAUAUGCCAAGUUCAGGUCAUAGAACGGUUGAAAAAGGAUCUCUGGUUGGAUAAUGACAUAAUGAAGCAAUAGUGAUAAUGCAACAGUUGAAGUUGUUACAAUCUAAAAACCGAAUUCUAGUGAAGAAAAUACCUGUUGCAUUUCAUCCAUGAGAGAAGCCAUUUUUUCUUGAAAUAUUUUUUCUACUUCUCCUUUCAUGUGCUCAUGUUCCUCUUCCAAUUUCUUUUGUAAAUCCUGAUCCAUAUCUCUUUUAGGGUCAGCUGCCAUUUGUUCACGCUCUUCUUGCAACUUUAUUUCCAUGUCAAGUUGUAUCUAUUGAUGCAUACUUUCUACCACUGAAGACACACUGGCCUCUAUGUUUGCUUGUUGCAUUUAACUCUUUUUAUGAGGCUUUUUCCCAUGUCCUUUUCCCCAAACAUAUCUUGAUCUCACCCCAAGAACCGAAGAUAAAAUAUCAUCGCUAGUCAUGAGAUUCUCGAUCUCUUUAGACUGUUGUUCAACGACAAGUUGAUGAAGCUGUCCCUAUAAUAAUGCAUUAACAUUUACAUCCAUACAUAAUAUACUAGCAUAACUGAUAGUACAUCGUGAAGGCAAUAAGGCAGUAGUUUUAGAAAAGUACAUGAAUCUCUUCAGAUUGUGGAUCCAACCAUACAUGUUCCCUAUUAACAUUCUUACGUGUAUGUUGGAUCUCCCAAAUUUUAUCUGGUGUCUCUUUUUCUCCUGUAAGAGGAUUUCUCUGUAAUAUCAAAAGAAAAAAUAUAAGCAAAUAAUUGUAUAAAUAUCAAAGAAGUAUAUGUAAUAGUAAGAGAACAAAUAUAAUGUAUUUUCACCGUAGAUUCCUCUACUCCUGCAAAUGAUCUUGUACUAUACGAAUGUUUGGUUAUUUGUUUUUCUUUAUUUCUUUUGUUUCUCUCGCUGACGACCUGCGCUUAAGUUAGUAGAUUAGGAAAUCUCUAAUCAAUUAGUAAAUACUUAUUAUUAUGUGUAAAAUUUGAAUUAUUUAUCAAGUUACCUUGAAUUCAUCAUUACCAAAAUAUUCCACUAGGUGAUUUCAGUCAUCCAACUCAACAUCCUCAGGUUGAUGAGAUAAUCGAUCUUUAUCAUUGCCGUAGCUAGAGUAGAUAACAUGUAAUCGAUCUUUCUAUGAUCUAAAAAGUAUUUGCAUAGUGCCUAUCACAAAGCCUUGCAACUUAUGCUCUGGCAGCCCAUUUUGAACUUCAAAUUUAUCCUGCAUACAAUGUAACAGUAUAUUUGAUAUUCUAACUGCAUAUAGAUAAAACAUAAAAUAUAAAGAAAAUACAAUAUUUAGAGUAAUUACCCUGACCCUAAGCCACAUUGCUUCUCCAUGCUUUAAAACUAUCUUCUGCCAAUUUUCAUCUCAAAAUGAGAUAGUGGUUCUCAUGAUGCAACCAGAGUAAUUGACAAUGUCUCUAGCUCCAGAACCUACAGCUCUAUCUAUGUCAUCUGGAAUCAUAAUUUUGAUUUUUCCUCCAUGUUUAAUCUUAAAAUCCACAGUUUUAGAUUUGUAUUUCCCUCUUCCUUUCCUUUUAUUGAUGCGGGAAACUGCAAACCAAGAAAAUAUAUUUUUAUUUAAAAGAAGAUGCAACAUCCCUCCUCAUCUAAUUGAUGUUAUGAUGGAUUGAGAAGAAGUUGGUUUCUAUAUGUGUGUUGCUAUGUAGGUGUCUGCAAAAGGGUGUUUGUUGCUGUACAGGUUGGAUAUCCAGAAAGUAUUCUGACUUAUGGUAGAUAUAAGUUUCUUAAAAUAUGGAUGUAAUGUUAAGCAUAAACUCAUAAGCUCAUGUGAAUAAGAAAUCAGAUUAGUAGUAAGAAGGUGGGGCCGACAAGAUGAGUGUAAGAUGAUUUACGUAUCAUAUUUGGAAGUGAAAACUGAAUAGAAGAUGAGUUGGGGACUUGAACUUGUUAGGGAGUCAUGCAGGAAUUCAAUGAACAUAAUUUGCUAAGGAAAUUCCCACACAACAGGAAAGAAGUCAGAGCUAGAAAUAGAGAAAGCAUCAAAUAAAAAAAACAGACAAGUAUAAAAUAAAAGAAAGAUAGACAAACUAUGGAAUCAUUCUGGCUUUGUAUUUGGUUUCAAGAGCUGAAUUGAAAAACUUCAGAACAUGUAUACACUAGUUUGGAUUCAGAGUAACAUGCUCAACUAUCAUGUUUUUAUAGAUAUCAUCAAGCUGGAUUGACCUUUAUUCAGACACUACCGUAGUCCUUGUGAACUCUGCUGAAACCAACCAUCUGCGAGUUAUUAAUGCUAUAGUCAAUCAAGUCCUUUUCUUUACUUUGGAAAACCAGAAUCUAAUAGUUGUUGCUUCAUAUGCCUCUUAUGUUCAUAAUUUACAAGUUUUUUUAUAAGAUUUUCACUAUGCAAACUCAUAAUUAAACUUUAUAUGUCAAUAUCAUCAUCUCUAUACAUAAUCUCAAAGUUUUUGAAAAAUUUUUCACUAAAACAAACUCAUAAGUAAAGCAAAAAAAACUAGAUAUUCGCAAAGGAAGAACAAAAAAAUAUCACCGAUGGUUGUAAUUUACCUCCUUCGUUAUGCAACAACAACAACAUCUUAACGAAAAUGGUGUUGUUAAAGCUCCAAAAGUGGCUGGCGGCGAGUGUACUAAGCUGUGGAAGAGGCAAAGUUUGGCUUGAUCCUAAUGAAGGCAAUGAAAUCUCCAUGGAUAAUUCUCAUCAAAACAUGAGGAAAUUGGUGAAGGAUGGUUUCAUCAUCAGGAAACCAACAAAAAUUCACUCAAGAUCUCGUACUUGCAGAAUGAAGGAGGCUAAGAAGAAAGGCCGUCACUCUGGAUACGGUAAGCACAAAGGUACCAGAGAGGCUAAACUGCCUACCAAGGUGCUUUGGAUGAGGAAAAUAAGAUUUCUCAGGCAUUUGCUUUGAAAGUAUGGGGAAUCAAAGAAGAUUGACAAGCACACAUAUCAUGACAUGUACAUGAAGGUGAAGGGUAAUGUCUUUAAGAACAAGCAUGUGCUGAUGGAAAAUAUCCAGAAGAAAAAAACUGAGAAGGAUAGAGAGAAGACCUUGUCCGACAAAUUUGAGGCUAGGAGGGCAAAUAACAAGGCUAUCAGGGAAAGAAAGUUCGCUAGGCAGGAGGAGCAUUUGGCUCAGUGAGCCAGUACAACUGGCAGCACCAGCUACCGCUGCUGCCCCAGCCCAGCUAGCCCAGGAAUCUAAGAAGUCAAACAAGUGAGCAUGACAAAUUGUAAGGACGGUUGGUGCUAUGCCUACUUUUUGUCCUUGUUAGUAUGACAAUUUAAUAUGGUUUAUUUUCCUUUUUGGUCUUUUAACUUUUGAAGACAAAUGUUACUUGUAUGAAUUUGAAAUCUGGUUUAAUGUUUUGAUACCUAUUUGUCAGUGAAAAAAAUAGAUAGUUGUAUUUUACAGAAAUUGAAGAAGACGCCAAUGGAAUUGAAAUCGUGAGAAGGCAGAAGGCGGGGGAGGAAGUGUGGUGGAGUGGGAACAAAAGAAACUAAAAUAAGGCAGUGAUCUUCCGAUUUAAGACAGUGAUCUGCCAAUUAAGGCAAUGAUCUUCCAAUUAAGGCACUGAUCUACCGAUUAAGGCAGUGAUUUGCCGAUUAAGGCACUGAUCUGAUUAAUCACAACAGAGCUAGAAAUAUCUCAAGAAAAUUAGAUAAUAUUCAAUUCAAUUCAAGUGUUACUUCAUAAAUUUUAACAUCAAUUUCUUAUGUGAUUGUCAACAAAAACAUUCUGUACUUUCUUAUGUAAUUGUCAACAAAAACCUAGCCUCCAAAGCCAACUCCCACUCCUCAAAUUAACAAAGAGCACUUAUCAAAGAAUUCCAAUAUUCCUUAGUCUAUACAAAUAGAAACUACAUACGUGCACCAAAAGAAAAGUGCAAAAUAUUUUUAAAGCUCAAAGCAGCAAGAGCACAAAUGAAAAAUACAAUUUUAGUAUAUCUACAACACUGACGAUACCAGUUAACCACAUUGGAGAAAUAUGAACAAAAGUUAUCUGUAUAACACCAACUAAUGUACAAUUUCCAGCAAGUAGCUACAUCAUAAUGGCAAAAAACAUUCUCUGUUUUCUAUGACGAAGAAAAAUUGAUACACCUAAUUUUUUCUUCCGUAUUUGUUUUGAUAAGAAAACAUGUUUAUACAGAAAGAAGGCAUAUAUGCUGUAGCCUGUUAACCAUGUAUGAAAGUUGUAUAACAAAAAUGCAGUUAUUACCAAAGAAGUCGAGAACAUUAUACCAAUGCACUACUGUCCCAACAGAAGUUCUCAAUUUUUUUUUACUAAACAAGUGAUUACAAAAAAAUGGAUGAUUUACAGAAGGAUAGGGUUUUUAAAGAAUGAUGUUUGAUAAUCUAGACUAAUAGGAACCUCAUGGAUGCACCAACGUUCACUCAAAACCAAAGAUAAGCCCCCUCCGGUACAAAUACAUUAAUCAAGAAUAAGAAAAAAAUAGGAUGACACUAUGAUGCUUAUGUAUAUGUUAGGAUUUAAUAAGAAGAGAAGUUAAUCAUCAACUAACCUACACCAGUUUCAGCCUCUAGGCUAAGUCGUAUAGUUUCAUCUAGAUUUCUUGAUGAUUGUGUCUCUGGGGACGUCCUUUGGACAGGGGCACUUGACAUUCAUUCAGUUUGUAGAGGUCCUUGGCUUGGAUUAGAUGACUGUCCAGUCUCCAAAGAAGGUGCAAUAACUCCUAUUGGUUGUAUUUGUGGAUGAGAUGUUGUUUUAGAACUUACACGUUCUGGAAAGUUGCCACAUCCACGUCCACGUCCUGAACCUUCUCUUCCACUUUUACCUCACCCUGCUUCUCUCAUUUUUUGCAAUAUUAGGUUAAAAAGGAGAAGUGUAUCAGAACCAGAAAUUAAAGAUGACAAAAUAUAUAUCUACUGUUGAGGAAAAUAUCAAUUUAUAAAAUGAAACAUUAAAUCAAAUAAUUAUAGAAUAUCAAAUAGUUUGUUAAACUGUUUAAAAUUAUUGAUUGUACUUAAACACUAAUUUUAUUUACCAAUAAAAGUUGCAAGCAAAACAACGCCAAAUACAAGGUAUCAUAAUAAGAACAUAAAAGACAAGAUGUCAGCCUAUUACGAAUACAAAUUCCCUCAUACGAUCAAAAGUUUGUUUUAAGCCAUUAAGCCAUUAAGUUUAGUGGAACCAUAUCAUAAGAUCAUUUCCAACCACCUUGUCUGCCAAUAAAGAAAUCAAAUUUGCUCAGCAUUGUAUCCUUUCCCAUAUUUAGAAAAUUGAACAAACAAGCUCUAUCAAUAGUCCACCUUCUUAACUAACUAAAACAUAAGUCUAAGGAAAGACAAAGUCAUUACAUCACAUGUCUUUGAUGUAAGUAAGAUGACUAUAUUGAUUAAUCAAAUGUAAGUGAUCUAUAUUCCUAUUUGCAUUCUCAAGAAACCCAACAUAAGAGAAGACACAAAAAUUCUAACACAAUCAGGUAGGUAAUAAAUUGAAUAUUAGUGAAGCCUGAUGCACGCUUGGCCAACUAUGCAAAGUCCUAUUGGAAGAAGUAAAGAACUAAUGUUCCAAAUUGAAGAAACAUAUAUAAACAUUAUCACAUUCAGCUCAGUCCCCCUAAACUAUCCUAAACUUUCACAAUGAUUGUACCUCUUGAUCCACUCAAAGAUUAACAUUAAGCAGUGCAAAGUUCAUACCAUGGAUACUUUUAUUCAACAACUACAUUGGAAAUUCAAGUAUAGCAUAAGCCCUAACUUUUACAAAAUCAGCCUAAAUGCCUCCUGAUAAAUGUUGUGAUAACUCAACCAGUCUUUUACAAAUUCACAGAAGAAUUUUCAGUUAUCAUUUAUAUAUAUAGAUAGAAAAAGAAAACAAAAUGGAAGUAUCGAACUUAUCAAGAUAAAGUAGCCCGAGUUAGUGCUAAUAGAGUAAUGGGUACAUUCUUAAGGCCGAACAAGACAAGAUUGGAAGUUAAUACCCAUCUAACAACAACCAAAAUCAAGAAAAUCACCAACAACUACGUCAGUAAGAACCCCGAUUAUCACCUCCCAACCAUCAAAUAAUAAAAUCCAAGCUCAAGGUUAUUUGUUAAAGGGUUAACAUAAUACCCAAAAGAAUUUUACCACAUACCUUACGGAGCACAAAUUCUGAGAACCCUAUUUGAGAAAACUCAAAAUUUCAAGCAAAACUCGAUUGAAGAGAUCAACAUCUUUGACCAACAAUUUGAGUAGCUUUAACUAACGAAUCUAACCCAUUUUGUUUCACAAUUGAGAUUUUGGUUUUGUUUAGAGAAAAAAGGAAAUGGUAGAUGUGAAUUUUGGUGAAAAACAUUGAACUCUUUGCAGAAGAACGAUGAGCAGCUUUGGGGCAUUUUUGGUUCUGUUUAGAACAAAGCAAAAAGGAUUAUUUUAAUUUUUUAUUUUCUAAAAUUUAUAUGUGUAUAUAUGUACAAGAAGGUUCCAGUAUUAUUAAAAAUGAAAUUAAUUAAUUGUAGUGGCGACAUUGUCGCCACAUAAUAAUAUUUAGUGAUGACUUUAUAUUUGUUGCCACUAUAAAAAUGGAGCCAAAAAUUAUUUUUCUGCGGGGACUGAAAUUUUUGGUAUAGUGACGCGUAUUAGCAGUGACAAAAAUUAGUCGAUGCUAAAAGAUGAUGUAUUGUAACGACAAUAUUUAUCGCCACUAAAUAUGAUGAUGUAUUGCAACGACAAUAUUUGUCACCGCUAAAUAUGGCGUUUCUGCAGCAACAAACUAACUCGCCACUAAUUGUUGCCACUAUAUAGCCUGUUUGUUGAAGUGCCUAUUGCGUCAAUUCCAACAAAUCAUCUUCUUGGUCAGACAAGCCAUCUCCAGCCGUCGCUCCAUCAUUUUUUUAGGUUGUCAAAAAACUAGCCAACCAGCCAAUUAACCGGCGAGCCUCCACUUGGUGCCGCCUCCCAUUUCCAUUCUAAAUCUGGUUGGAACAACCUUUUCCGGCAUAACAUCCAUCAAAAUCAGUGUUAGCUCUAUCAUUGAUCCUUUUUUCAUUUAAUGAUAUAAAUUUGUUAGUUAGGUUUGGUGUGCAAAUUAAUUUUAUUACUGUUACACUUUCUUGCGUGAUUAUUUCAACACCAUUCUAUUCUCCAUUAUUUUGUUAUGCUCACAAUAGUAAUUUAGUUAUCCUCCGGUGACCAUAAGGUAGUUAUUGGAUUUCUUUGUUUCUUUCUUAUUAGAUGAGACUGAUCUUGACAUAGAUUCUAUCUUGUUUAUGAAAUUGGAAAAUUCAAACACAAGAGUUUACUUAAUUAGUAGGGUUACAAGUUGUCAAAAAUACAAUUCUUCAAAGUGUAAGAUACCAAAUAGGAAAGGGUUUUAGCAUUAUAAAGAAUUUGGGGUUGGCUGGUAAAAUGAUAGAAUUUGCCUUUGGCAAAAAUCCUCCUAACUGUGAUCGUUGCAGCUUGUCUACCAUCAGAGCUACCGUAAAUGCCUUUAGAUUCUUGCCAUCGAGUUGCCGACCAAAAUGGACUGUCUACGAUCGCGGCCCUCAGAAAGACAUCACAGUAACCGAGCCUGAUUAUAUCCAGGGUCUUCAAGCUUGCACUUUUUUUCUAUUUCUAGUUCCUUAUCAGCUAAAAUCUAGAUCUUUCUUUCAUGUCACCUGUAUGCCUAAAUAAUAUGGAAAUUAGUGCAUUUGACUAACAAAAUUGUUUCGUUCAUACCUUCAAAUCAUAGUAGUGUUCACAAAUUUUGGAUGCAAAUGAGUGGUAAAUUCACCAAUCAUCAACACCGCAACAUAACUCUUUGCUUCUCCUCAAGCAAAACUGCCUCUUACUCAAUGAGAUAAUGAAAAUUUAAACCUAUUUAUGCAACCUAAUGAUCAUAAUGAAAUCAAACAUGAUUUCUACCUAAAGUAGCUCUUUAAACAUGGGCAAAGCUAUUCUCACGACACCCCUCAUCAUGAAAUAAAAUCUUAAAGAUGCAAAGGACUUUAAAGAGAAACAAUGCAACAAACACUAACACUCCAGAAGUGACUAUCUACUGACUCAACUCCACUAUACUCCUUUUGCCUUAUUUUUCAGAAGAUAAUAUCAACCACCUCAAGUUAUUUACAUGUCUCCUCACAAGAAGGAUAUCCCAUGCACACAAAAUAAUGUAACAUGCCAUAUGAGAUUUAAGUUUGAUUCACUCUCUUUUUCUCAUAAAUAUUCUCGAUGCUAACUAGCACCAUACCAUAUGUUUUCCCUUAUUUUCAAUCAUCACUGCAAUGAGUAUACUUGAUUGGAGAUCUCGAAUGGCUUUUAGAGCUUGUAACAUAGGUUUGUAGAAAGGUAGGAUAUCAUUUAGAAAUAAAGUGGAUAUACCCUCCUUGAACAUCUACAUCACGCUAUUCCAUCCGACUUUUUGCCAUGGAUCCCUUUUUUUUCACACUUUACACUUGCUUAUUUUAGCUACCUUGAUAUACCUAAUGUUUUGAAGGCAUCUUUCAUUCGCUUAUUUCUUUUGCAAUCAUGCCUUAUUCUUAUUUUUAUCAUUUCUUUCUUUUUCACCAUUUCAUUGCUUAGCUCAUAGGUAUCCACUUACAUUACCUUAGCCCAAGGACAUAUUUUCAAAACAUGCCACCCCCAACUUAAGCAUUUAUCCUCAAUUUUUAUUUUUCAGGUUCAAGAAGGGUAGUGUUCAAUAGUGGGAACAAACUUUGAAUGGUUUAAGGAUUGUAAUGUGGUUGCCAAUGAACGGAUUGAAUGUUCAAAUUGGAUAACUAAGGAUACUAUUCUAUGCAUGGGCAAGCUAUUUAGGCUAAAGUUGUUUCCUAUGUUCACAAAGAUGACCUAGAAUCAUUUCUCCAGCAAAGCAUAAUCAAAAUUAGCCUUGAGAGACUAACAGGAAAGUUCUACAUGGAACAAGUAUGCAUAAGAUUUAGAAAAAUAUGCUCACUGAACAUGGAAUGCAAACUAAUUAACGGAGCUCAAUUUUUAUUCCCACUAGAGGCCAAAUGAAGUAUCUACCAAUUUCCAUAAGCAAAACUUUUGUACUCACAAAAAGACAUAAAGUAUUGUUACAAGGUCACUCACGUUCAUACCCUUUAUUUUUUUAAAAUUUUUUUUAUGGAGGGAGUGUUUGCUUCGCAUUUGCACCAUGCAUAAUUUGCUAUUUAUGGAACCAAACAAAGAUGAUGUCUCAUAUUUUGGCUUUCAUACGAGCAAACCAUAUGGAAACUUAGACUUCACUAUAGGUAUAAAUGCACAAAUCGAAAAUGCUACACGUACUUAGAUUUCACUUGCAUUUGGCUCAAAACCAAAUCUCGAUGAUUUUUAAUUAAGAAUGCUAAUACUUAAUCGAUCAUAGGAAAAGGAUAAUCCGAUGUCACCAUAAAAAAAUAAAGAUAAUGUAAAAAUAUAAAAAUUAAACAAACAACUAAUCCAUGAAAAUUGGGAAAAAUGAAAGUGCCCAAAUAUUACAACCCCAAAAAUAUUAAAAUCACCCAAAAUAAUAUCAGAACAUCAAGAAAUAUAUCAAUAAGACAGGCCAAAUGAAAUGAAUAUAUAGACAGCCACCCCCAACUAAAAUUCUUGCAGUGUGCUUACUACAUAAAAAAUAAAGCAUAAAGAUACUUAAGGGUGCUCACUGAAAUUAUAUCAAGGGCUACUCUCGCCCUCAGACUCUACAUCAUCUCCAGCAUCAUAAAAAUUAGACCACUCAAUUAGGGCCUUAUCAUCUCUCUCAACUCAGAAAUAAGGUAGUCUAUCUCAUUGCUUUAGAACCUUUCAUAGGCCCUUUACCCUCUUCCACAUCUUGUAAAAUAAAUUUUUCCUUUUCAUCUCCCUUUAAUAUCAUCUUCUCAUUCGAGUCCCAGAGUUCUCUAUGAGACUUUACCAAUAAUAAAUGGGCCUUAUUAAUCCUAGAAAUUGUGUCUCCCUGUGUCUACUGAUCUACCAAAUACUUCUCAUAAUCACAUUGGGACACAUAUGAAUAGAGGGUGGUGGAUGGCUCUCCCGACCCCUGAGAUAAUCCCAACAUAAGCUCCCUAAUAGGCGUUAAGUCAAUACUUAUCUCCUUAAUAGGUCCUAUUAUGGAUGGCCUAUAAGACUUUGUCUCCUCACAUAUUGACAUAUCCAAGUCAAUCUUCCUCUUCUUGCUCUUUCUCGGCGCACACUCAACAAAAAUUUUUAAAGUAUAAAUAGGGGUGCCAGGGUGCACCCUCAUGUCUCCAUGGUACUCUAAAACCCUAUAUCUCUUGCAAAACUCAAUAAUUAAAGAGGAGAGUAAGAGAUGCAUAUCACCGUGGAUCUUAAAAAACUUCAUAUUAGAGACCACAAGUCGACCAACAUUAAAAACAAUGUCAUCUAGAAUGAAAGCAACCAUUAGAGCUUGCAAAUAUGGAACGUUGUCAUGUGGGUGCAUUGGAGACAGGAUACAAAAGAUGGUCAACCAGAUCAAGACCUCAACAGUGAAGGUAUUCAUUGAUAUGUUCCUCUUCGUAGCCUACCAAGGGACCUACUUUCCCGGACAUACCUUCUCCACCAACCAACUACCUAAUUUACACCCUUUAGCCUAAAAUUUAUCCAUGAUUGCAUUCUGGAGCUAAUAGAUUUAAUUUAUCUCUUCAGCUCCAAAGUUCACCAUCUUUCCUUAGAUCCUAAUAACUGGGUCCGAGAAAGAUACCAUUCUAAGAUUAGCGUAUAAUUCCCAUACCCACUGCUCAUUUUUUUGACAAGGAUCCGAGGCAAAGUACCUCCAUCAUGUGGCCAUGAGUCUUUCAUGGAAUGUUAGAAGCUUUUUUAGCACCUUGUCCAAGCAUAUUUCCCUUUCCAAAAGUAUCUUUUUUUGGGAAGAUCACCAUAGUACAUAUUUUGGCACUCAGGUCCAUGAAAUGAACUUGAUCGUAGUCUCCCAUAAUGUAAACAUAAAAAAUAUGUGAACAACACAACAACAUUCAUCAUCAUUAUUUUCAUCCAUAAGCUAUGAUGUGUUGUCCAACAAAGCUCAUGGAAUGGUUACUUGGUCAUGUUUGGACAAUAAUUGCAAGUACAGAAUUUAUGGCUCUGGCUAAAGUUAAGUCCACAUAUUGCAAUCACGGUUUACAAAAUCGUGAUUGCAGUGCCACAAUUGCGAUCCAGCGAACAUGAUCAUAACAUUAGAGGCCAGAUCAUGCCCAAUUUUCAAUAAUUCAAAAUUACGAAUUCUAAGACAAAACUUGCUCCAACAUAAGAUUUAAAAUUAAUAUCAUUAAACAAGGUAAAAGGAUAAUUGAUCAUGCCCUUAGAAUUUGAUAAUAACUAGUUGUAAUUUCAUUUUGGCAUUUGAUCAAGUACUUGGUGUGCAUACUAUAUUUCUCACAAUUUUGAACACAAUUUGGGUACAUAAGACUUCCACACAUGUGUGCACACAAUUUACAAUAGCGAACCACCCCACAAGUAUAAAUAAUUAUAAAUUUAUCAAGUAAAAGCGCAAGUGCCUCUCCUAGUUCAUGCAUUUUAUGGCCUACCUUCAACAAUUUAAGCAUGAAUUCAAAGCACUUACCAGAGUAAUAAUGCAAGAUGGAUUCUAAGAUGCUUUUGUAUGCCCAAAAUAUUACCAAGAGUGGGUACAAUUUGAUAGAAAAGAUGACAAGGGAGUGUGAGGGAAAUAGGGCAUUAAAAUGGUCAUUUAAAUAGAUUUGAAUGCUAUUACAGUCGAUCAAGUGAUGAUUACGAUUGUAGAAGCACGGGACCAGCGAUCACAGUAACUGAGAGCAUUUCUGUACCUCUUUUUUCCCCUGUUCAGCUUAUCACUCAAUUUUGAAACACUAUCCCCUGUUCAUACUAACAUGCAAAACUUUCACACUUUUCCCUUCUCAACUUAGUCAAAAACACUCCAAAGUGCCACAAAUGCAUGGAUUAAUCAAUGAUAAAUUAAAAUCUAUGCUACUAAAUUAAAAGCAAAGGAUACGAGCCAUAUUGGUGCCAUUUGUGGGUUGCCUUUCACAUAUCUCCCUAGUUAUCAUCGUGGCAUGACUUUCUUUAUAUUUUUCAUGUUGGAUCCUCAAGGAACCCCUCAUUUACUUCCUCUUCUUCAAGAACUAUAACCGACACUUCUUGAAGCUCCAUGGGUUGUUUCUUCAUUUUGGAUACUAAGAAGGAAACUUCACCAUUAUGAACUAUAAACCUCAUUUCCCUAAGUCAAAAAUGGCAAUGACUCUUCCAGUAGUAAGUAAUGGUCAACCAAGGAUAAUAGGCACCUAUUGGUCCAUCUCACAAUCUAGCACCAUAAAAUUCGCCGAAAGGAUGAAUCUGUCCACUUUUACUAGCAUAUUGAACAAAACACCAACCAGUUUCUUGAUAUACCGAUCUGCCAUAAAAAAUUUCAUCGAUAUUGUGGUACCCAAGACAAUCUUAUUAGAUAUUUCAAAGGGCAUGAGAUUAAUACUCGCACAAAGGUAAUAUAAAGUUUUUUCAAAUAUAUGUGUCUCGAUGGUCUAUAGAGUUGUAAUAGCCAUUGGGUCCUUCUUAUUAUCUACUAUUAUGCUACCUAUGAUAGCGCUACACCCAUAGUUCCCUUCAAUAAUGUCACCUUCAACAAGAUUUUUCUUCGACAUUAAUCUCUUUAUAAAUUUUGCAUAUCCCAGAGUCUCUUGGAUAACCUUGAGUAAUAGGAUAUUGAUAGAGAGAUUGAUAAGGUUAACCAUGAAUUUAUUGAGCUUGCCAUUCUCCUCUUUUCUUUUAAGCCUUUGUGCAAAUAGAGGUGGGAUUUGCAUAGUGGGAAGUAUAUCACUUCAUGGAUCCUCAUUUUCAACCACCUCUUUAUCAAUUUUGCCAAUUUUUUUCAUCCUCUUGAGAUUUCUGAUUUUAUUUUUUUUGGCUCAGCCACAACAUUUUUCUUCACAUUGAUGUGCUCAAUUUUGGUAUUCUUUUCACCAAUACUUUAUUCCUCAAUCUCCCUCAAAUGAUCCCCGAGGGUCUUGCCACACCUAGUGUCUAUUUCCAAAACUUGAGCAUCAUUAUUCGAGUUAACAAUAGUAUUACUAGGAAGGCCCAUUUUGGUCUAGCAUUUAGUUGAGGGUAGAUUUGACCUAUUUGUGUUUCCAACUGCAUAAUAGAAGCGGAGCGGGACACAACCAUUUGGCUGAUUUGUGAAAAAUCACCUUUCAAUUCAUGGACCAUCUUAUCCAUUCCCUCACCUUUAAUAAAAAUUCUUGCCAAGACACUUUGGUUUUGUAUGUAUCAGGUUUAGAGAGAUUUGCUUUAUUUUUUUCCAUUUAAUGUGGGGGAACAUAACGAUCAUAGUCACAGUCUCUAUCCCACCAAUCACGGUCACGAUCCCUAUCACUUUUGUUCAAACCUUAGUUCCUACCUUGCCUUUGAUAGGUAGGGUAGGAACUACCCAAAUAGUUUGCCAAAUACCGAAUCUAUUUAUUAAACAUCUUGUCCUCUUCAUCAUAAUAGCCCUUGGAUUCCAAGGUUUCACCGAUUUUGUGGGUACAACCAUCACAUGUUUCAUUAAAAUUGCCAAUUAUUUUAUCAAAUUUUCCAUGUUUUCCUCCCUCUCUUUAUCUCUCUUUGUUUGCUCAAUAUCAACAAAGGAGGUAGUAGGACACCCUUUUGGUACCUCAACCUCACAGGUUUUCCACCCCCUGUUUAGCUUGGUAACUUACCUAAGCAUGUUUGUAGCUUCAUGAUAAGUUAAUUUCACAAGAUAAUCUCCCGCCGCAUUAUCUACCAUUGUUUUGUUUAUUUUAUCUAGUUCUCGUUAGAAAAUAUGGGGAAGUAUCUUCUCCGGUACCUCAUGGUUGGGAAGUUGCAUGAGUUUUUCGUUGAAUGUUUUGCACCCCUUAUACAAUGGUUCUCCAUUCAAUUACCAAAAGUUAGUGAUUUCAUCACGCAAUUAUAGUAUCUUCGAUGGUAGGAUGUAUCGGUCAAGAAAGGCAAUGGUAACUUCGUUCCAUGGAGUAGUUAAUCUGGCUGAAAAAGAUCAAAGAUACAAUACCACCUCUACUAUAAGAGAAAAUGGGAGGAGGCACAACUAGAUGGACUCUUGGGAUAUGCAUGGAAUAUAAAGGGGCGCACACACUUCUAUAAAAUUCUUCAAAUGAAAAUUGGAGUCAUCAUGGGUUUGCUCCCCAAAAAAUCCCAUAAUUUGUAGCAUAUGCAACAUAACAUACAUGAUUUGAAAAAUUUGUUCCCAUGAGUAGGGGGGAUACAGAUGGAACUUCUCCCCCCAACAUCAUGGAGUUGCUUCUCAUCAUCAAGAGGAAUUCGUCUUCUAGUCCUAUGGUUUUUAAUAGUUACUAUAAAGAUACCUGUAAUAUAAAUAAAGAAAAAUAUAUGAUUUAAAAUAGAGGGGUUAGUUUGGAAUAUGGUUUCAUUCAAAAGCUAUUAAAGUUAACUACUAAUGGCGAAAAUUGUGAUUGAAAAUUAAAUAUGAAGAGGAUCUUGGGAUUAUGUCUACCUAAGGGAAAGUUAUGUAUAGGUGCAUGAUGAUUAAUUGAAAAUUCUAGUUAUCAACGACAUGGUAGGCUAGGUUAAAGGUUCAUGAGGCUAGUUUUUUAAUAAAUUCUCUAGAUUAUAACCCGUUCCACCUUUUAGGUACCUCACAAGUGUGUAAACAAACCUACCUAAUACCUCAAUCAGGCAUCACUAUUCUCGAAAGAUGCCAAAGAUAUAGCGAAACCUCUACUUAUCCUUAUUUAUAAGAUAGUGAAAAUAUAGCAAACUACAUCUACUAUUGUCCGCUAUUACCCAGUUCACCUACACUCUCUUUAAAGGAUGAUAUUAGCUCUCAAGAACUUGGGGGUUUCACCCAUAAAUCCAUCUUGGGAAUUUAGGGUUUUCACCCAUAAACCCUAACCUAUUCAAACAAGCAAUAGUGAAACCCAACAUCAACAAACUAAAAUCUACAGAAAUAAUCACAACUUACAUAUUAUUGCACCUUAGUUAAACAUAAUCCCAAGACAAGAAAAUUUAGCUACUCAUAAAGUUAAAGAGAAGAGAUAUACCAAAUGGAUCAUUCAAAACAACCAUGGCAAUGGAUAAUAAGAAGAUUUUUCAAUUUAUCUCCAAUUUUACCAAACCCAAAUUGGAAAAUUGAAACACAAGAGUUUCCCCAAUUAGUAGGAUUUAAAAUUGUCCAAAAUUCUAUUUAUAAAAGUGUAAGAUAUCAAAUCGAAAAGGGUUUUACAAUUAUAAGAAAUUUAGGGUCAGCUGGCAAAAUGACAAAACUCCCCCUAGGCAUAAACCCGCUUAGCUACGAUCGCUGUAAGUUGUUCGUGAUUGCGGCUACCGCAAAUACCUUCAAUUUCUCAUGAUUAUGUUUGCUGACCAAAGCGUACUAGCCGCGAUCACAACCCUUGGAUCGUAAUUAUGGUAAAUGAGCCUAAUUAUGUGAAGGGUCUCCCAGCUUGUACUUUUCUUCUCCUUAUGGUUCCUUUCAAGCUAAAAUCCACAUCUUUAUUUUUUAUCACCUAUAUGCUUUAAAAAUAUGGAAAUUAGUGCAUUCAACUAACAAAAUUAUCUUGUUCAUACUUUCAAAUCGCAUUAGUGUGCAUGAAUUUUGGAUGCAAAUGAGUGGUGAAUUCACCACUCAUCAACCAUUAAAAACCAGUUCAAAAUCAAAUACACAUAAUUAUUUACAAAUACAUAUAUAUAUCAUGUAAUGGAGUAAGGAACUAGGAUUAGCAUGUACUUUAAAACUUUAGCCUACAUUGUGUAGCUCAGCUGUCAUAACAUAAGAAGGCACCCAUAUGCUAUAUAGGCCUAGCUCUACUAUAACGUCCCGAGAGUACACCCUAGGUGUCACACGAUGUUUCCAGUUCCAAGGGACCACAAGCUAACCCAUGAGAUGGUACCUACUGUGAGCUCUAAAUAACACAAUCAUAAAUGCAAAAGAAUAACUGAUAUGUUAUAAGGUUUUAAUAUCUAAAACAAAUACUGAAUUAUGAAUCUGAAGAAAUAACUAUCUGAGCCUAAAUAAAUACAAAAAUUUGUGACAAAUUGAAUAUUUAACUUACAUGUCAACUGAUGUCAGAAUACUAAAUAACUGACUGUAGUUUCUGAAAAGCCUCUAAACUUACUAACUAAGAGUUGAUGGGACAGUCCCCAACUACUCCACUAACUACUAAAAUAAAGACAUAAAGUAAAAUAGUCUAUCCUCAAAAUAUGAGGACUCUCCACUACUACUUCUGGGAGUCUGAGGAGUCUAAGUGUGAUUCGAGAACUGAGAGUCAGAACCUAUGAUAUUAUACAUCAUAGCACAAAAGAAACAUAUGCGAUCAGUACUUUGAAAGUACUGGUAUGCUAAAUAAGGUAGGAUGACAUACAUGGUUUCAUGAACAAGAAUAAUAAUUAUCUGAAUUGACAUAUAAAACAUGAAAUACUGAAUAGAGAGCAUGAAAUCUGUAGAUACUGAAAGUAUAUGAAAUCUAUAAAUACUAUGUAUGCAUGAAAGUCUGUCAAUACUAAAGGUACGUAACAUUUGUAGAUACUGAGGAUAAAUGACCAAGCAUAUAGCAUGAAAUAAAUAGAAGUCUUUCACUAAAAAACUAAAAUAACAGAUAUUUGUAUUACUUGGUCAAACAAUACUGAGACUGAACUACUGAUCUGAUUAUUGGACUGAGACUGUAGGAGUGAUCAUUAAACCUACAUUCCCCAAUCUAUGCAAAUUAGGGUCCAACCUGUAACCCCAGUUUGAUAGGUAUUAAUACUAUGCCACAGGUACUAAUGCUGGUUGUGUGGAUCCACUAUAUUGAUGUGCUGUCCCGAAGAACUAAGGGUGUCAAGCCUAAACUGAUAGGUGACUCUUGAGAGAUAGUCAAGCCUACACUAACGAGUGACAUAUCAUAUACUAUGCUGGCUAUGUAGUUGUAUAGUUUAGGGACUACUACUAGUAACUCUGCCUAUCUGAUGGGGAAGCCGCAAUCCCUACACUCCCUCAGUGCUAAGUCCUACUCCCAACUGAAUGACACUGAGUUACUAAAUAUUAUGAGUUUAGCUAACUUAUCUAGUAAUACUCAUGAUGUAUUCUGAAAUUAUUUUGAAAAUACUGAGUAGAGAAUAAGUAAACAACUUUGAUUUUUGGGUAUUCGGUACCCCCAAGACUCAAAAGCAAUAAUAGUAACAUGAUACUUAAGCUUAAAGGACAUAGCAUGAAGGCUUUUAUCAAACAUGUAUUCUUGUAGGCAUUUUAUCAAACACUUGUAGUUCAUAGUUAGGUCAAACAUAGGAAUGUUAUGGAGCUUGUAGUAAUAGCAUGAAUUCAACUUGGAUAGUACUAAGUCAUGAUUAAUUCAACGAAUGAUAACAUUAAAAUAUGGAGAAUUGAAUAACAAAAAUAAUUCCAUUGAAACCAGGUAUAAAAUAAUAGUUCAUGGAGAUUCAUGGGUGAAAUCACAAUUUAAAAUCAAAUAACUUAAAAGGAUUAGAAUUUUGUAAUUUAAAUAGGAUACUUGGAGUCCAUGAGUGAAAGGACCCUAUGGAUGAACAUCUAACAUGUACGAGUUAAUGAAUUUGGAAGGAUUGAUGGUGAGUUCUUGAUAUUUGGCAUUGAAUUUUAGAGCUAGGGUUACUUGUUCUUGAAAAGAGAAUCUUUAAUUUGAGAGAAAUUGAAUAAUGAUGAGUAUUUAGGUCAAUUAGGGGUUAAAUUUUGUGUUUUGGAUGAGUUUGGAGCUUAGGAAAAAGACCCAAAUACCCCUAAACAAAUUUAAAAAUGCAAGUAGGAAAUUGAAGAUCCUAAUUUUUUGUCUUGGUGUGUCGCGCCACUAUCACGCCAAGCCACUAGAAAAGUGAAAAUUAGGAAACUGGAUGAUGGCGCGAUGCGGUAAGAUCGUAGUCCUUCAUUGGAAUGCCAUUUUGGCCACCUUCGCGAUGUGUCGUAAUAGCGGAGGCUCACUAGAAAUUGCCAAACGUGAACUGGGUUCUUGGCAUGACUCGCCAACAUUAUUGUACUAUAAUGGAAACUUACAAUUGUUAUUUAGACUGGCUCCGUGAUGUGCUAAGGGUAAAAAUGACGAUGUGUAACAACUGAAACGUAAAAUCGCCAUAACUUCUUACUGGAUUACUAGAUUUGGGCGAAUUUUACAUCAUUGGAAAGUUAACUGAAUUUCCUACAUAAUGUCAGGCUCUAACCUAAAAAUUAAUGAGUAUUUUGAAUUUUUUUUUUGAAUACUAAUGUAUCAGGACCUAGAUUAUGCUAGGGAAACAUGGGGUAUUAUAAUAUUUUCCCCUUGGGAUCAUUCCUCCUCGAAUGAGAAUGGUUAAGCUAAUUUGUAAAUGCAUGACUGACAUAAACAUGAUAUACAGCUGAAACUGAGCAUGACAGAGAGAAAUCAUACAAAGAUUAGUACCUUAAAAAGAAUCUGAAUUUGCGGAGAAAGGAUGAGGGUAAUUGCUCUGCAUAGCUGCUUUUGCUUCCCAAGUGGCCUCAAUGGACUGAUUCCGCCAGAGAACUUUGACUAGUCAAACUUAUUUGUUCCUUAGUCUAUGAACCUGAUGUUCAAGAAUUUCAUCUGGAACUUCCUCAUAGGAAAGAGUGUUUUGAGCAUCUAUACUUUCUAAGGGAACAACUAUAGCUGGAUCACCAAUAUACUUCUUCAACAACAAGACAUGGAAUACCGGGUGUACUAAAGCUAGAUUAGAAGGCAACUCAAGCUUGUAAGCUUCUUUUUUGAAAAGACUGAGACUUCUGAAUGGACUGACAUAGUGGGGAUUGUGUUUCCUUUUCUUGCAGAAUCUCUGUACCUCCUUCAUAGGAGAUAUUUUCAAGUACAUAGAAUCACCGAUCUCAAACUCGAGAUCCUUUCUCCUCACAUCUGCAUACGAAAUCUGUCAGCUCUGGGAUGCUCUAAGCUUUUCUUUGAUCAACUGAACCAUCUCAAAUGCAUCAAACACCAAGUCAGACCCUACUACCGCGGCCUCACCUACUUCAAACCAACCAAUUAGAGAUCUACAUCUCUUACCAUAAAGAGCCUCAAAUGGAGCCAUCUAAAUACUAGAAUGAUAGUUGUUAUUAUAUGAGAAUUAAAUCAAAGAAAAGUGGUCAUCCCAACUACCUUUGAAAUCAACAAUGCAUGCUCUCAGCAUAUCCUCCAGAAUCUGAAUGGCCUUUUCUGCUUGACCCUCUAUUUGAGGGUGGUAAGUUGUACUGAGCUGUACUUGGGUACCAAGACCCUUUUGGAAUGCCUUCCAAAAGUGAGAGGUAAACUGGGUACCUCUAUCUAACAUAAUGGAUACUGGAACUCCAUGUAACUUAACCAACUCUUUGAUAUAGAUUUUGACAUUGUCUUUGGAUGAAUAAGAGGUAUGGACUGGCAAAAAAUGAGUUGAUUUGGUUAUCCUGUGUACGAUAACCCAAAUAGAAUCAUGCUGAUGAUGGGUACGAGGAAACCUAUCAAAAAAUCCAUGUUUACCUCUUCCCAUUUCCAUGUGGGAAUACUGAACUCCUGAAUGGACCCACUAGGCUUCUGGUGCUCAAUCCUAACUUGCAGACAUAUAGAGCAUUUAGCAACAAACACUGUAAUAUCCCUCUUCAUCCAACUCCACCAAUAGAUCUCCCAUAAAUCGUGGUACAUCUUACUGUCCCCUGGAUGAAUAAAGUAACGCGCACCAUGCGCUUCUACAAAUUUUUUUUCCUCAAGUUAUCUGCACCAGCAACACAUAGCCGACCUUGACAAUGCAUUACACCAUCUCCCCCUUCGGAGAAAACCUCAAAUUUGUAAUCGCUAACUGAUUUUUUCAACAUACUAGGUUAUGAUCUCUACCCUACUUUUCUUUCACUUCGUAAAUUAGAGAGGAUUCUGAACUACUCUGCACCCAUAUACUAACUUCUGCUGAAUCGACUAGGUGGAUACCUAGUUAGGUAAGCUGAUGGACUUCCUGAGCCAAUUUUAUCUUACCUUCCUCAAUAUGAGCAACACUACCCAUAGACAAUUUACUAAGAGUAUCUACCACUACAUUGGCCUUGCCCAAAUGAUACAAAAUACUCAUGUUAUAAUCUUUCAACAACUCUAACCACCUUCUCUGAAGCAAAUUCAAGGCUUUUUGAUAGAACACAUACUUUAAGCUUUUGUGUUCUGUGAACACAUCAAUAUGUACCCCAUACAAGUAAUGCCUCCAAAUAUUUAAAGAAAACACCACAGUCGCUAGCUCGAUAUUAUGAGUCAGAUAAUUCUUCUAAUGGGGCUUAAGUAGCCUAAAGACAUAGGCCAUGACCUUUCCUCUCUGAAUAAGGACACAGCCCAAACCUACUCUUGAUGUAUCACAGUACACAACAAACCCAUCUGAACCAUCUGGCAAGGUAAGAACUGGGGCUGAGGUGAGUCGAGCCUUCAACUCCUAAAAACUCUUCUCACAGGAAUUUGACCACUAAAACUUAACUUUCUUUUGAGUCAAUAUGGACAUAGGGGAUGCAAUAGAUGAAAACCCUUUAACAAACUGAUGGUAAUAUCCAUCCAAACCCAAGAAACUCCUGAUGUUUAAUGGAGAAAUGGGUCUGGGCCAAUUUCUCAGUUUCCCUGUCUUUUGAGGAUCAACCUUAAUGCCAUCACCAAAAAUAAUAUGGCAAAGAAAAUCUACUGAUCUUAGCCAAAAUUCACACUUACUGAAUUUACAAAACAACUGAUGAGCUUUAAGAGUUUGUAACACUAUUCUAAGAUGCUUUGUAUGAUCACUUUCGCUACGGGAGUAAAUAAAGAUGUCAUCAAUGAAGACUAUGAUGAAAAAGUCAAACUACUGCUUGAACACUCAGUUUAUCAAGUCUAUGAAGGCUGCUGGGGCAUUUGUGAUACCAAAGGACAUGACUGGAUCUCAAAGUGACCAUAUCAGGUUCGAAAAGCUAUUUUCAGAAUGUCACAUUCCCUGACUCUAAGCUUAUGAUAACCUAAUGUGAGGUCUAUCUUUGAAAAAUAACUAGCACCUGAUGUUGGUCAAACAAGUUAUCGGUUAUAGGAAGUGGAUAUCUGUUCUUGACUGUGAUUUUGUUCAAUUGACGGUAGUUUAUUGAUAUUCUGAGAUAACCGCCAUUCUUACACAAGAAUAAAAUAGGUGUGCUUCAUGAGGAGAUGUUAGGUCUGAUAAAUCCCUUUUCUAGGAGAUCCUUUAACUGUUCUAUCACUCUUUAUGUUCUGCUAGAGCCAUUAUGUAUGGCAAAAUAGAUAUGGGUUGGGUGUCUGAGAGAAGAUCUAUUCCAAAGUCGAUUUCCCUUUCGGGAGAAACUCUGGGAAGAUCUUUAGGGAACAUAUCUGGAAAUUCCCUCACUACUGAAACUGACUCUAGAGUUGGGGUUUUUGAAUUUGAGUCUUUGAAUUGAACAGGAUGGUAAAUACACCUCUUCAAUAUCAUCUUUUUUACUUAAGGUAUGAAAUUAACUGACCUCUAAGAGCUGUGGUACUACCUCUUCAUUCAACGACUGGUUCAUUUGGGAAAUAAAAAUGAACUAUUCUAUUUUAACAAUCAACUAAGGAAUAACACGAGUGGAAUGAUGUCAAAAUCUGUCAUCUCUAACUCCACGAGAUCAAUGGUGGUAACUUUCUGGGUUAUUAUGACCAGACAGUUCCUAAAUACCUACCUGGAUACAAUGAAACCACCCACUGGGGUAGAUACUGAAAAUGGCUCUGCUAGAGUUUCGGGACUGACUCUAAAAUUGAUGCCUAUAUAUGGAGUUACAAAAGAAAGUGAAGCUCUAGGGUCUAGAAAAGCAAAAGCAGGUAUGUGAAAGACCUUUAACGUACCAGUAACUAUGUCAAGAAAAUUUUCUUGAUCUUGGCGGUACUGAAGAACAUAUAAUCUGUACAAAUAGUGACCACUAGUAGCACUGGAAGUGGCACCCUACUGAGUUGGGAGACCAGAUUGAACUAAUGACUGAUUGGAUUGUUCCUGUUUGUGCAAAUCCCUACCUUUCUGAGUAGCUACCUAAAACUCCCAAAUCUGAUGACAUGUCUUGCCACAUUUGAAGAACAAAUUACUACCCGCUCUAUACACACCACGAUGGUGCCUACCACACUUCUGACAUAGUGGGUUCAUACGGGCACUUCUACCACUGCAUUGGGACUUAGAGCUAGGUGCUCUCUCCCUAUUAUCCUUUUUGAAUUUGGGUACUGGGCCACUGGAUGAAAAGGGUGCUAAGGUUGAAGACCUUUAAUAAAACUGAGGAUGGUUACCACCUCUUGACCUUGGAUAGCUGAAAUUAAAACUUCCUAUCCUAGCUCUAUUAUUUUCUGUCUCCUUCUCCUUAAUCUUAUGCUCCUUAAUUUUUUGAGCAUGGAUCAUCAACCUAGACAAGUCCAUCUCCCUAAUCAGCAUUGUGAUCCUGCACUCCUUAACCACAAUAUUUGAUAUUCCAGAAACAAACUUAGUCAUCUUGGACAUGGUAUCAGCUACCACAUGAGGAGCAUAUCUAGCUAACUGAGUAAACUUGAGGGAAUACUCCUUCAAGCUCAUGCUGCCCUGCCUUAAGUUAAUAAAUUCUAAUACUUUGGCCUCUCUCAAAUCCAAUGGGAAGAAUCUGUCUAAGAAAGACAUAGCAAACUCUUCCCAUUCUACAGGCCCUACAUUAACACCCCUAUCUACCUUCCACUGCUUAAACCAAGUAAGGGCUACAUCCUAAAUCUGAUAUGCAGUCAACUCAGCACUCUUACUAGAUGUCACCCUCAUAGCAUCCAUUACCUUUUGAACCAUAUCUAUGAAAUCCUGUGGAUCCUUUUUAGACUUGGAUCCCAUGAAAAAGGAGGAUUUAUUUGGGUAAAGUCCCAAAUUUUGUUUGCAGUAGUAUUUGCCACUGGGUUGGCUAGAACAAUAGGUAGCCAUUCAUUCUGUGCUGCUAUGGAAUUUACAAUAGUGGUAAAUGCUGCUCUGAAUUCCGCGUGAUAGACAUGCUUAUCCAGAGGAUCUUCCUGGACGGGUUAAGGUGCUGGCUGGUUUCCUGCUCCUUUUCUUCUGUUACUUUUUGGGAGGCAUGUUUUUUAAAUGGAAGAAAGAAAUAGAUUAGACUUAGAGUUUAACAUGAGCUCAUGCUCACUCGCACUACAUGAAUACUGAAAGAAGGGAAAUUUUUUCCUAAAUGCCUUGUAUCCUCUCGUCCAUAAGUGUUUUAUGCUACACACCGAUGCAUAAGACUUUACUGAACACAACUUUCAGACUUCCUAGGAUACUUUAAAAUAUUAAGCUCUGAUACAACAUUUGUAACGUCCCAAGAGUACACCCUGGGCGUUACACGGUGCUUAUAGUCCCAGGGUACCAUAAGCUAACCCAUGAGCUGGUACAUACUGUGAGCACUGAAUAACACAAUCAUAAAUACCAUAGAAUAUCUGAUAUCCCAUAAGGUUUUAAUAUCUGAAACAAAUACUGAAUUAUUAAUCUGAAGAAAUAACUAUUUGAGCCUAAAUAAUUACUAAAAUUUAUGAAAAAAUAAAUAUCUAACUCAUAUGUCAAUUGAACUCUGAAUAUUGAAUAACUAACUAUAGUGUCUGAAAAUCCUCUAAAUUGAAUAACUGAGAUUUGAUGGGAUCGGCCCCAACUAACUCCACUAACUACUUAAAUAAAGAUAAAUUAAAAUAGUCUGUCCUCGAAAUAUGAGGACUCACCACUGCUACUGCUGGGAAUCUGAGGAGUCUAAGUGUGAUCUGGGAACUUAGCAUCAGAACCUAUGAUAUAGUACAUCAUAGCACAAAAGAAAGGUAUGAGAUCAAUACUUUAAAUGUACUAUAAUGCUAAAUGAGGUAGUUUGACAUGUAUUGUUUCAUGAACAGGAAUAAUAAUUAUAUGAAUAUAUAUGUACAACAUGGAAUACUGAAUAGAGAGCAUGAAAUCUAUAUAUUUUUAAAAUAUAUGAAAUAUGUAAAUACUAUGUAUGUUUAAAAGUUAGUAAAUACUGAAGGUACGUGACAUUCGUAGAUAUUGAGGAUACAUAACCAAGAAUAUAACCUGAACUGAAUAGAAGUCUGUAAACUAUAAUACUAAAAUAACUGAUAUCUGUAUGCCUUGUACAAACAACACUGAGACUAAACUACUGUGGGAGCUAUCAUCUAACCGACAUUCACCAAUCUGAACUAAUUAGGGUCCAACCUGUAACCCCAGAUGAACGGAUGUCAAUAAUGUGCCAUGGGUACUAAUGUUCUCUAUGUUUAUCGACUAUACUGAUGUAUUGUCCCAAAGGACUAAGGGUGUUAAGCCUUAACUGACAGGUGACCCCUGCGAGAUAGUCAAGCCUACACUGACGCGUGACUUAUUAUAUCCUAUGUUGGCUCAGUUUUGGAGUUUAGGGACUGCUACUAGAGACUCUACCUAUCUGAUGGGGAAGUCGUCAUCCCUACACUCACUCAGUGCUAGUCCUACUCCCAACUGAAUGACACUGAGUUACUAACUAUUCUGAGUUUAACUGACUGAUCUAGUAAUACUCAUGAUGUAUUCUGAAAUUAUUCUGAAAAUACUGAGAAGAGACUAAGCAAACAACUAUGAUUUUCAGAUAUUCAAUACCUCCAGGACUUAAAAUCAAUAAUAGUAACAUAAUACUUAAGUUUAGAGGACAUAGCAUGAAGGCUUUUAUCAAACAUGUAUUCUUGUAGACAUUUUAUCAAACACUUGGUUUAUAGUUUGGUCAAAUCAUAGGAAUGUUAGGGAACUUGUAGUAAUAGCAUGAAUUCAACAUGGAUAGUGCUAAAUCAUGAUUAAUUCAACAAAUGAUAACAUUAAAAAUGGAGAAUUGAAUAACAAUAAUACCUCUAUUAAAACAUGGUAUAAUAUCAUAGUUCAUGGAGAUUCAUGGGUGAAAUCACAAUUUAAAAUCAAAUAACUUGGAAAGAUCACAAUUUUGUAAUUUAAAUAGGAUACUUGGACUCCAUGGGUGAAAGGAACCCAUGGAGGAACAUCUAACAUACCUGAGUUAAUGAAUUUGGAAGGAUUUAUGGUGAGUUCUUGAGAUUUGGCCGUGAAAUUUAGAGUUAGGGUUUCUUGUUCUUGAAAAGGGGAUCUUUAAUUUGAGAGGAGUUGAAUAUUGAGUAGUAUUUAGGCCAAUUAGGGGUUAAAUUUCGUCUUUAGGAUGAUUUUAGCUCUUAGGAAAAACAUCCAAAUACCCUAAAUGAAUUUUAAAACGCAAGCUGGAAACUGAAGAUCCAGAUUUUGGGCUUGGCGUGACGCGCCACUAUUUCGCCAAGCCACUAGAAAAGGACAAUUGGGAAACUGGAUAAUGGCGCGAUGCUGUAAGAUCGCAAUCCUUCACUGAAGUGCCAUUUUGGCCUUCUCUGCAAUGCGCCAUAAUUGCUGAGGCUCACUAGAAAUUGCCAAAUAUGAACUGGGUCCUUGGCGUGAUGUGCUAAUAAUGCGGUACCACACUAGAAACUAAAAAUUAUUAUUUAGACUGUGUCCACGAUGCUCUAAGAGUCAAAGACGGUGCUUAAUGACUUAAAAUUAAAAUCGCCAUAACUUCUUACUCGAUUAUUGGAUUUAGGUGAAUUGUACAUCGUUGGAAAGCUAAUUGAAUUUCCUAUGCAAUGGCAAGCUCUAAAUUAAAAAUUAAUAUGUAUUUCAAAAAUUUUAUAUAUGAAUACUCAUGUAUCAUGACCUAGAUUAUGCUAAGGAAAUACAUGGUAUUACAUCUACCCCAGCUGGAAGGGCCAUAGAGCGUGUGGUUGUAUGAACCAGAGGAUAUAUAUAUGCAUUAUGGGGGACUAUAACCUCCAGGCAUAUCAAGGUUACACAAGCACCCAAACAUGUAAUAUAAUAUAGGGGACUUCAACCUCCUAUUCAUAUGAUGAUAAUAAUAAGGGGGACUCAAACCACUCAAUGAUGUAGAACCUCGCGUCGGCAACUAUGGUUUCCAAUAUUGGUUUCUCGGGACCUCCACUUUUAUGACUCAGCUACAUAACCCUCAUUCAAGACCAAUUAAACCAUUUAUCACAUAUUCCCAUUCAUUUAACCAUGAUGCAUAUUUAGGCAUACAUUGUUGGUAUCGUCAUACCAACUACACUUGCAAGAUAACAUUAACAUGCCGAAACAAUUUCAGUAUUUGGGGAAUUCACAGCCCCUUUGAUUUAAUUAUGCAUUUGAUUGGGGAAUUACAUAACCCCAUAAAGUUCAAUUUAAAAUCAUUAUGCUUCAUUAACUUUUAACAAUGUGCAAUAAUUCAAGAGUAUUUCCAUAUGCAUACUUUUCAUAUUCAAAAUCAAUUUCCUAAUUUGAAGGUUGAGGUCAUUAUAACUUCAAAAGUCCCAAGUUGGGGGAAAUCACAAUCCCCAAGUUUAUUCACCAUGACCAUGCACCCCACUGGUAUAAAACCAUAAUCAAAGCAUGAAGAAUCAUAUGUAAACCAUGAGAAAACAUUAUUCAAAAACAAAUAUUCAAAAACAUCAACCCAUGUUUCAAAACCAUCGUUAAUAACAUAUGAACAACAACUUAAAACAUAUUCUCUUCAAAAAUUAGAAAUUAGGGAAAAGUAACAUGCUUGAAAUACUAAGUUUACGAAAAGAAUUCAACCUUUGAUCCCUUGGAUGAUGUACUUUUUAGAAACCCUGUGUAUCUUACUUGAGAGAAUUUGAGAGGGUUAUGAGAGUAUUUAAUCAUGUUAGGCAUAAGAAAUAACCCCCUUAAGUGCUUUAUGAACGUGGAGUUUUAAUUGGGUCAGAAGGGAAUUGUCCUAAGUCCCCUAAAAUUAUAAGAUAAAAUUUUGUUGUCAUUGUCUACGGGUCACUCUACGACUCAUUGGGAUUCAUUACAACUCAUCACCAUAAGUCGUAGCCAAGAUAAUUUGAAAGGUACACACUGUUUAAACUAUGACUCAACUAAUACUACUCGUGUUGGAACCCUACGACUCAUGAGGUCCAAUCGUAACCAACAAAGAAACCAUUUAAGGUAAACAAUCGACUUCCUACAAUUUGGACAAAACAAAUUGUAAUGAGACCUUAUGACUCAUAGUCAGCCACUCGUACUCAUAAAAGAACUUAACCACACAUACACUAUUAAGGCUAUGAUUUGGGGCCAACGACUCGUCAAGACUCCCUACGACUCAUCGGGUAAAUCGUAGUUAGGUUAGUGAGGAUAAAAAUUAAGAAAUUCUCAGAGAUCAACACCUGGAGUGUUUAAAAAAUGGUCACUGACAACUAAUUUGAGAAUGAAAAGUUAUGCUAAAUGUGAGCUUUGUACCCAGCUUGUAAUGCAACCUAUCCUAAACUUUUGAUAUGUAUUUAGCAUCUUCAUUAAAAAUGAUGGUAAGUGAAACCCCAUAAAGUUUGACAAUCUCUUUGAUGUGGAUUCUAGCCAACUAAUUUGAGUUAGAGUCUAGCUAAUUUAAAAAAAGUUAGAUGAUUUCUUCAUCAUAUCCACCAUCACCCAAAUGGGGUAUUACUUCCGAAAAGUCUUAGGAAGACCAACUACAAAAAUACCUAUAAAUGUUCUCCCAUGUCUAUAUAGGUAUAGGUAUUCUAUGAAGAAGCCCCAUGAGCCUUUUGUAUUUAUACUUCACCGAUACACAAUUUUGACACUUGGACACAUAAUCCACUAUGUCCCUCUUCAACCUAGGCCACCAAUAAAGUUGUAUUAAAUCAAAGUAAACCUUAGUUGUACCCUAGAUAAAGAGAAUAACACAAACCUCGAGCCUCUAAAAGCACAUCACAAAUCAAAUUACCAACCCAAGAAACACUGCCCAUAAAUUGUAACACCCCACUCAGGUCAAGGGUUGCAUCUACCACCUCCCCACGUAAUUCAAGAAAGCAUUCAGUUCUUAUACUUAAAAUACUUGGCCUUAGUAUUCUCUACAAAGGUCGACUUCAUAUCAACACACCAAACCUAUAUAAGACCCCAAAGUGCAUGUAAUGAAAUGAUAGAGUUUCAAACUCUCAACCUAAAGGUCGUCUGGACAAACUCAAGAAUGACAAACUAUCUAUACUUGUAUGUUUUUUGAUAAAUGCCACAUUGGCCUUACCCAAAUAUUACUAAAUACUCAAAUCAUAAUACUUCAAUAAUUCCAUCCACUUUGACUUCCUUAGAUUCAAAUCCCUUUGAGUGAACAUGUGCUGAAAAAUAUGGAAACAUGUGCUAUGAACUACAGUGGCCUGUCAAGACCUCACAUUUGACACCAUAAAGAUAGUGUCUCCAAAUAUUUAAUGCAAAAACCACCAUUCCCAAAUAUGAGUCAUUUGCCGCAUAGUACAUGUUAUGAGGCUUUAACUUCCUUGUAGUAUAAGAAAUGACACCUCUAUCCUACAUCAACACAAUGCCCAAGUACAAUAUAAAGCAUCACAAAACACUAUAAAGUCCUUACCUUCAGUUGGAAGUGAAACUAUUAGCAUUGUAGUCAAGAGUAUCUUGAGAUUUUGGAAGCAUGCCUCACAUUUGUUUGACAAAAAAAUGGAGCUUCCUUCAAAUUCAACCAUUUCAAAUGCAUCACAUGGGAGGAAAAGUUCUUGACAAACUUGUGGUAAUAGCUAGAAGGACCUAUAAAAUCACUUACCUCAGUUAUUAAAUGAAGCCUAGUCUGAUUUUUAACUACAUUAAUCUUUUAGGGAUCCACCAUCAUUCUUUUUCAAGACCACAUGCCCCAAAAAGGCCACUGAAGGUAACUAGAACUCACACAUUUAAAACAUUACAAACAACCACUUCUCUCUUAGAUCUCAAAACUAUGUGAACAUAACCUACAUGUUAUUCAUUAGUCUUAGAGUAGACUAGAAUACCAUCAAUAAACAUAGAUAUAAAGGAUCCAAGAAUUAUUUAAAUACUAGACUCGUCAAGCUCUUCAAGGCUGCAAGUGUAUUCAUUAAACCAAAAGUCAUCACCAGAAACACUUAAUGGCGAUACCUAGUUUAAAAAGUAGUCUUUGUUAUAUCUUGGAGUCUAAUUGAUAAUAACAUGAUUGCAAAAUAAUAUUUGAAAACAUUGAUGCCCCUAUAAUUGGUCAAACAAAUCUUUUUGUGAGAUAGUGGAUAUUUAUUUCUUAUAGUAACGUUAUUCAGUUAUAUAUAAUCAAGGCACAUUCUCAAACUACCAUCCUACUUCUAAACAAUAUGGACCAAAGCACCCCAAGGUAAAAAUAAGGAAUAAUAAAAGACUUUUUAUGUAUUUCCUAUAGUUACAACUUACUGAGGACAUGACUCUAGAUAGGAAUAUAUGAAGGAUGCAAAUUAUGUUAAAGGCUAGUGCAUGUGGAGUAGUUGUAGCCAGUAGUUAGGAGAGCUUUGGUGUAGUUGGGAUAGUAGUAUUAGGGUUAUUUCCAUAGGUUGGAGCUACUUGAAAGGAGACAUGGGUGUGGUCGUUGCCUUUGGUUUGGAAGUGUAUGAUAUUACUUAGUGUACGUCUUAUUUCAGUUAUUCUAUUUUGUAUCAUGUUUUAUUAUGACAUAGCUUAUUAUCCUUUGUCUUGAGUUGGGGGUCUAGGGGAAAUAGCCUCUCAACUUCUUUGGAGGUACUGGUAUGGACUGCAUACAUUUUACCCUCCCCAGACCCCACUAUGUCGGAAUACACUAGGUUUUAUGUUGUUGUUAUUGAGUUUUGAGCUCCAUCAAUUAUUUUGGAUCUAUAUGAUAAGAUGGAAUGUAUAUAUGGUGGGUGCUCGACUCUAAGUCAAUAAAGAAAUCAAUAUAUUUAUACGAAGGUAUCCCCAAUAGGCUUGAAGGAAGAACAUCCUAAAAUUUAGAAACUACUGAAACUAACUCUAUAGAUGGAGACCCCGCACUCAUAUCCUUAAGAUGGGCUAAAAAUUCUAGACACCUUUUCCCACAAAACUUUUAGCCCAGACAAAUGAUAUAAUUCUCAUUGCCUUAUAGUUAUGCACUCCCUCCCAUCUAGUUUAUCAAUUCCUAGAAUAUCUAGAGUCACUAUAUUAUCAUUACAUUUUAAAACAACAUUACAUUAAGAUAAUCAUGUCAUACCUCGAUGUAAAUCAAAGUACAAUAUUUUCUAAAUAAUCAGGUGUACCCAAGCCUGAAAACUCACAAAUAAUACAAGGAAAGAACUGUAAAUAUAGGUUACUACCAUUCAUUCACCAACCAGAGUAGACACAUAAAUAGGCUAAUGAAGUACAUUACAAACAAAAUUCAAACCCAUCAAUAAUUAAAUAGAUACAUAAGAGUAUGUAGACCCUAGAAAAUAAUAUAGAAGCCAUCGAGUCUCAAAUAGAUAUAGUACAUGUGAUCAACGGAUCAAAAUCCUCAACAUUAAGCAUUCCUAAAAAUAAAUAAAAAGUGAGGCUCAUCAGUUUAAGCUAAAUACUUCCUUGAUUGCACUCCCCCUUGCACCUUCAUUUCUUAGGUCGCCUCGACUACCAACCUAAUUCCUCAUCCACUCUUUAGAUGGCCCAUAUCCUUACUUCCUCCCCCUUUACCUAAUGGAACUAUAACUUGGGUCUGCUGCAGUGCUUGAGAAUUCUCUUAUCUGAGAGGAAACUCCCUUUUAAAUUGACCAAUGGCACCUUAUGGGGAGCAUCCUCACUCGAUAGAAGGCUAAAUCAAAGAAGUGUAAGAUGACCCUUGGCCCCUAAUAACUUGUUCCUACAAAGAAACCAUAGAUGGAACCACAGUAAAAGCUGGGAAGCUCAAUUGAAUUUUGUAGGCUGAGUAGGCCUUCUUCCCAUGAGCUUAGAGUAAGACCCACUUAAAUUCCCAUCCUUGUUAGACUUUUUGGCUAACAUCUUAGCCUAAACUAGUUUCAUUACAUUCUCAAACUUUUUUAAAUAGUCAUCAACUUCAUUAAACCCUUUACAUACAGAAGUUAUACAUACAAACAAAACCUAAAGAUCGUAAUUCAAACCCUUAACAAAGAGUUAUGUUUAAUAGUAACUUUUAAACUAUUGUGUUUUAUAGCCAUACAAGGCAUAAAAAUUAAUCUUAUUGGCUUCGACUGGCAUUUCACCCUACUUGUAAGUAAAGAACUAACCCUUCUUCUAAUUCCAGAGGGUAGGUGGCAUAUAAUUUUUUAAUAACAAGGCAUAAAAUUACUCCCACUUGAAUGGAGUAAAAAUUUGUGUCUAAAACUCUAUGUAUUCCCCCACUAUUUCUUAGCAUCCUUCUCAAAUAGAAAAUUCAUUCAAUCAACUCCAUGUUUAUUUAUAAUAACCUUCUUAUGUAAUCUCCCAUAACAGUUACUGAUGAACUUAAAAGCAUCCUCAGACUCAGUACUAUAAAACGUAGAUGAUUUUUUGCUUAAAAAUUUUUUCAAGAGCUCAUGAUCCAUACCAUUCAUAGCCAAACCCAAAACUAAAUUAGAAAAAGUAUCAAUUACUAAAGUUUUAUCAAUUCUUAGAACCAUAACAAAGUAGAAUGGACAAUCAAAGCCUUAAAAGUUGUAACAAUGGGUAAGGCUCAAGUCUGUACCAACCCACUUAGAAAGCUUAACUUACUGACAAACUCAAUAGACAUAGGGAUAGUGUUGCAAACCCUGUCAGUGCCGCCACCUUGAGCUCUACUCCCUACUCCUCUACUACUCUCUUUAGUCAACAUGAUCAUAAGUUAGGGGUGGUGAUACUGAAAUUUCAAGGGUUUAUCUAUUUGUUGCUUGAUUUCCACUCUUGGAGAAUGUAAUACCCCAGGAAAUUUUUCAUUGAAAUUUUAUGUAUAAACGUGUUGGGUUCUAUCUUCUAGAAUGAAUUACAAAUUUUUCAUGUGAAAUGUCUUAGAUUAUGACCCACCAUUGCGUAGAGUAUAGAAUAAGCUUUCCAACAAUAUGUGGAUCAUCCAAAACGGACACCCGAGUGACGAGUUAUGAACAUUUCGAUCGAACCGUGAAUAGUAGUGAACAGUAAAACGUGCAGAAAAAAGUACUGAGGCCUAGCGUAUUUUUGCUCCAACUUUAAAUAACCAUAAAUCCUUGUACAUAAUGAUCUAUGUGAUCUACUAUAUAUCAAUGGAAAACUCUGCAAGUCCUCUUUCCAAUGAAAUUAGUUUCAUCCAAUUUGUCUAUUGGAGCAAAAAGUUAUGGUCGAUCUACUUUAUCCUAACAAAAGUGAAUUUUUGGGUCAACUUCAAAUGAUCAUAACUCCUCGUACACAAUGAUCUGGGGGAGAUACUAUAUAUCAACAGAAAUAUAUGAGAGUCCUCUUUCUAAUGAAAUUGGUUUUAUCCAAUUUAAAUUUUAGAGUAAAACAUUAUGGUUGAUCUACUUCAGACUAUCAAAACAGUCCAUCAAAGGAUCGAUUCGAGAAUUUUUUUGAUUUUUAGGGGAGUUUUGGUCAUUCCCCCUCACCCAAAAUCCGUCCAAACCCUAUAUUAAAACCUAUUAGAAGCAUUAUAUGUUAUAUUUCAUCAAACUCCCUCAAAAAGAAAACCCUAAGCUCCUACAUCCAACUUUAAGAACCUCAAAAGUUCACUAUUAAUUCUGCAAAUUUAUUCAAGAUUCCAAGUUCCUAGUUUAAGAACUCCAAGAACCAUCAUUCAAAGGCACGAUUAACAUCUAAAAAAUGAGUAUCAAUCUAAAGUUCAUCAUUCAAGGUAUGUGGGGUUUUUCAAAAAGAACUCUCUUUCGUUCUUGUGCCCAAAAGUAAUUUUCUUUACAAAGGCAUGAUUUUUAUUUGAUUUUUAUGAAUUUGAAGCAUGAACCCAUAUCUUAUGAUGAUUAUUGAUAUUUAUCAUUUUGAUAUUUGAGUCAUGAAUCCCCAUUGGAAAUUGUAUUUUUUUUGAGAAAGUAUGUGUUAUAAGCACUUUGAUGUUGAAUAUUUGAGAUAUUAUGAAUGAUUUUACCCUUUGGUCUUAAUGGAGUUGUUUUGAACUCGAAUGUGAAAGAAAUCCACAACGUGGUUGAUUUUGAUAGAUGGGAAGCAUGAUGGCUCCCGAUGUAUAUUUAUAUAUUACUGACAUUAUUUUGUUGUGGAUUUUCUUUGAAAUGAUCUAAGCUAAGUCUGGGAGAAAUCUUUAGCACCAAGUGGGAGGUAUAAAUUAACAUUACUUCCCUAGAGCUACAUGCCCCCGUAGGAGUGAGCCUGAGGCUGAUUUAUAUAGUGAUCACUAAUUUAUGUGGAUUUGAUAUCGAUAGUCCUACUUUGAUGGCAAGGAUAGGAUGGCUCUCACCAACAUUGGUUGUACGUUGGACUCCAUGUAGCUCACAUGGUUUAUGUCGGUUGUAGGAUCUCCCAGUGUGUGUGUGUUUUCUUGUGUCUAUGGUGAAUGGUGAAGUAAUUUGGAAGUUGAAUUGUGAAAGUUGUUCUUUCGAAAGAUUUAAAUGAUAUUUAUAUUAUGAGAAUUGAUAUUCUUGAUGAACUGAAAGUGAUUGACAAAUUAUAUGAUGACUCACAUGUGUUAUUGUACUUAUUUCAUCCUCUCAUGAUUAUGAUGAUUUUCUUUGGGCUAUGUGAGUCUUUCAUACAUCCUGCAUAUUUCUUAUAAAUAUUUAUGAUGAUGAUGUUUAUACAACUGCAUACACACCCAUAUACUCGGUUCUUUUCUAUGGUACUGACCCACAUCUUUGGAUGUGGGCUACAUUUUCUCAGAAUAUAGGUUCAGGUGCUCAGUUCCAGGUUCAAUAGUGUUUCUUUGGGCAUGCUUUUCUACAUCCUCUAUUAUGGUGAGUCAUUAUGUUCCGAGGACGUAAUGUUUAAUGUUGGUUUCACGUAAUUAUUUACAUUUGAUAACUGAGUAUGAGUCAGUUGGGGCAUGUGUCAAUGGCUCGCUAGUUUUAUUGAUUUUCUUAGAGGCUUGUCAGACUAGUAUAGAUGUUGGGAGUAGACUAAUAAGUCGUAUUUUGUUAUCUUUAAACUCUUUUAUUCUUGGACGAUGAUUACUCUGUUGAUAUUUGAGGGUUAUUUAUGAAAACCCCAUUGAUUUUUGUUAAACUAAAUGAAAAUGGCUCAAAGGGUUAGCUUGGGGCUACUCGUAGCCUCAAGCACCGUGUGACGCUCUGGGACCCAUUUUCUUGGGCAUUACAAACUUGAUAUUAGAGCCUAAGGUUUUAAGGUGUCCUAGCUAUUGAUCCCUGAUCUCCUCUUUUAUAAAUAUACCUCCACGUUGAGCGAGAAGAAAUAAUGAUGGUCAGUAACCUCAACCCGCUGACCCAUUGAAUGAAAAUGUGUCUCAUACUGAAUUUUGGGCAGCCUUUCAGGUGCUGGUCCAAGCUGUUACUACAAAUAUUCAGGCCAACCCGGCCCUAGCUCCACAUCAGUAGGGAGGUGAUUCAGCUACUGCCAAGAUCCAUGACUUUAUGCGGAUGAAUUCACCAAAAUUCUAUGGGUCCAAGUCUGAUGAGGAUCCACGGUUGUUUUUAGAGGAGGUGCAGAAAAUUACUCAGGUGAUGCUUGUAUUUGAGGAACAUAGUGUGGAGUUGGCUGCGUAUAGGUUGAAAAACCUUGCUUAUGACUAGGUUGUUGCUUGGAGGAAAGGUAGAGGUAAGGGAGCUAUCCCUACAAAUUGGUAAAAGUUCCAGGAUGCAUUCCUGGAUAAUUUUUCCCUUUGGAGAUGAGGGAGGCGAAGGUGGAAGAGUUUAUGAACCUACAACAGGGCUCUAUGACUGUUAGGGAGUACUGUCUAAAGUUCAAUAAGUUGGCCAAGUAUGCUCCUGACUUAGUGGCUGAUAAUCGAGCUAGUAUGAGUAAGUUUGUGACUGGAGUAUCUAGUUAUAUGGUUAAGGAGUGUAGGUCUGCUAUGCUGAAUAGUGAGAUAAAUCUUUCUAGGCUGAUGACUCAUGCCCAACAGAUUGAGGCAGACAAGAUUAAGAAGAGAGAUAGAAUGAGAGGGAAUAAGAGAGCUAGGUUCGAGUAGCAUAGAUAGGGUCAGACUAGAUCGUAGGGACGGAGUCAUCCUUAGUAUCAGGAUCAUUCGUCUAUACCAGCACUAUCAUUUGCUAGUGCUCCCAUGCCUAGAGGUAGGUAGGAUCAAGGUAGUAGGUCAUAUGCAUCCAGGUUCCAGUACAGUGCUGGCAGCAAGCCAAAUCAUCCUCUGUGUCCUAAGUAUGGUAGGGCUCAUUCGAGUGAGUGUUGGGGUACGAAGAGGGGUUGUUUCCGGUGUGGUGACAUGGGUCACAGAGUUAGAGAUUGUCCACAGGAUGGACAAGGGCAUCAUGAUUAUCGACCUCAGACGUAGACUCAGACUAUUAGUGCUCCAGUUCCAGCGACUUGCCCGGCCCCAAAUCAGGGUGCCUCUUCUAGCAAUGCUGGCAGGCAACACCAGAAUAGAUUCUAUGCUUUACCAUCCCGUCAGGAAUAGAGGACUCUCCUGAUGUUGUUACUGGUAUGCUUCGUAUAUUUCAGUUAGAUAUGUAUGCUUUGUUGGAUCCUGGAUCCAGUUUCUCAUAUGUUACACAUUUGAUUGCUGUGAAUUUUAAAAUGUCCUGAGAUUAUUCCUGAGCCUAUCCUAGUUUCUACCCCAGUGGAUGAUUCAAUUGUUUCCCAGAAAGUGUAUAAAAAGUGUCCUGUUACCGUUCUUCAUAGAGUCUUAUUGGCUAAUCUGAUUGAGUUAGACAUGGUUGAUUUUGAUGUGAUUCUGGGUAUGGACUGGUUAUAUUCUUCUUAUGCCUCUAUUGAUUGUUCGACCCGAGUGGUCAAGUUUCAGUUUUUAGGUGCAUCCGUGUUUGAGUGGUCCGGGAAUUCUGUGUCACCUAAGAGUCAUUUUAUCUCUUACCUCAAAGCUAAAAAGCUUAUUUCCAAGGGGUGUAUUUACCAUUUGGUUAGAUUCAAAGACACUAAGUCUGAGACUCCAACUCUUCAGUCUGUAAAUGUCGUCAAUGAGUUUUCUGAUGUCUUUCUGGAUGAUCUCCCAGGGAUACCUCCUGAUAGAGAGAUAGAGUUCAGGAUUGAUCUUCUUCCUGAUACUCAGCCUAUUUCUAUUUCUCCUUACCGUAUGGCCCCUGCAGAACUUAAGUAGUUUAAAUAGCAACUCAAAGAUCUUCUAGAUAAGGGUUUCAUAAGGCCUAGUGUUUAUCUUUGGGGUGAUCCUAUGUUGUUUGUGAGAAAGAAAGAUGGCUCUUUGCGUAUGUACAUUAAUUACCGCCAACUGAAUAAAAUCACCAUAAAAAAUAAGGAACCCCAUUCCGAGAAUAGAUGAUUUGUUUGACCAAUUGCAAGGUGCAAGUUAUUUCUCAAAGAUAGACCUUCAUUCUGACUAUUAUCAACUCAAAGUUAGGAAGUGUGCCAUCCCAAAAACUGCUUUCCAAAAUCGUUAUAGCUAUUUUGAGUUUCUUGUUAUGUCUUUCGGGUUAACUAAUGCCCCAACAGCUUUCAUGGAGCUCAUGAAUCGAGUGUUCAGAUCAUAUCUGAAUAUGUUUGUCAUAGUGUUCAUCGAUGAUAUACUGGUGUACUCCCGUAGUGAGGAUGAAUAUGCUGAUCAUCUCCGAACUAUCUUGCAAACACUUAGAGAUCACAAGUUGUUUGCCAAGUUUAGUAAGUGUGAGUUUUGGCUAAGUUUAGUUGCUUUUCUGGGUCAUAUCAUUUAUUCCAAGGGUAUUAGAGUUGAUCCCCAAAAGACCGAAGCUGUUAGAAAUUAACCUAUUUCUCUGACUGAUAUCCGAAGUUUCUUGGGUUUAGCUGGCUAUUCCACCAUUUUUUUGAGGGUUUCUCCUCUAUAGAAUCUCCUAUGACUCGGUUGACCCAAAAGAAAGUGAAGUUCUUGUGGUCCAAAUCUUGUAAGAAGAGUUUUCAGGAGUUGAAGACUCGACUCACUUCAGCCCCUAUUUUGACUUUGCCUAAUGGUGUUGAUAGUUUUGUGGUGUACUGUGAUGCUUCAAGAGUUGGGUUAGGUUGCGUAUUGAUGCAUAAGGGUAAGGUGAUAGCUUAUGCAUCUAGGCAGUUGAAACCCCAUGAGAAAUAUUACCCCACCCAUGACCUUGAGUUGGCUGCUAUUGUGUUUGCUUUGAAAAUCUAGAGACACUAUUUGUAUGGUGUGCAUAUUAAUGUUUUCACUGAUCAUAAGAGUCUGCAGUAUGUGUUUACCCAGAGAGAAUUGAAUCUUAGGAAGAGAAGAUGGUUAGAAUUGUUAAAGGACUAUGAUAUGAGUGUGUUGUACCAUCAAGGCCAAUGUUAUGGUGGAUGCCCUAAGUAGAGUGUCUAUGGGUAGUGUUUCACAUGUGGUAGAAGGUAAGAAAGAGUUGGCUCGUGAUGUACAUCGUUUGUCUAGAUUAGGGGUUAGAUUGUUUGACUCUACUAAAGGUAUUAUAGGGGUUCAAACUAGUUCCGAAUCCUCCUUGGUUUCGGAAGUGAAGGAAAAGCAAUACUUAGAUGCUAGUUUGGUCAGACUGAAGGAGUCAGUCAAGGACCAAAAAGUAGAGGUUUUCUCCAAAGAGGGAGAUGGUGUGUUGAGAUUUCAAGGUAGAUUGUGUGUCCCGAAUAUUGAUGAUCUGAGACAGAGGAUUAUGGCUGAAGCGAACAGGGCGCAAUAUUCUAUUCAUCCUGGUGCCACGAAGAUGUACCGAGACUUGUGGGAAAUCUAUUGGUGGAAUGGCAUGAAGAAAGAUAUAGCAAUAUUUAUAGCUAAGUGUGCAACAUGCCAAUAGGUUAAGGUUGAACACCAAAGACCUGGUGGUAUGAUGCAAACUUCGUGAUUGGUUUGCCUCCUUCCCGACGCCAUCAUGAUUCUAUUUGGGUUGUGGUUGAUAGGUUGACUAAGUCUGCUCAUUUUUUGCCUGUUCAUACUUCAUAUACUGCUGAGGAUUAUGCUAGAUUGUAUAUCUGAGAGCUAGUCAGACUGCAUGGAGUUCCCUUGUCUAUCAUUUCGGAUAGGGGUGCUCAGUUCACUUCACAAUUUUGGAAAGCUUUUCAGAAGGGUCUUGGUACCCAAGUGCUUUUGAGUUCUUCUUUUCAUCCACAGACCGAUGGUCAGGCUGAGCGGACCAUCCAGACCUUAUAGGAUAUGUUGAGAGCUUGUGAACUUGAGUUUAAGGGAAGUUGGGAUGAUCACUUACUGUUGAUAGAGUUUGCUUACAAUAACAGUUUCCACUCUAGUAUUGGCAUGGCUCUGUUUGAAGUCUUAUAUUGGAGGAAGUAUAGAUACCCCAUAGGUUGGUUUGAGAUGGGUGAAGUGGCUGUGAGUGGUCCUGAUUUGGUAUUUGAAGUUAUGGAAAAAGUUAAGUUAAUUAGGGAAAGGUUGAAAAUUGCGUAGAGUCGUCAGAAGUCAUAUACGGAUGUUAGAAGGAGAGACCUUGAGUUUGAAGUUGGUAACCUAGUGUAUCUNNNNNNNNNNNNNNNNNNNNNNNNNNNNNNNNNNNNNNNNNNNNNNNNNNNNNNNNNNNNNNNNNNNNNNNNNNNNNNNNNNNNNNNNNNNNNNNNNNNNNNNNNNNNNNNNNNNNNNNNNNNNNNNNNNNNNNNNNNNNNNNNNNNNNNNNNNNNNNNNNNNNNNNNNNNNNNNNNNNNNNNNNNNNNNNNNNNNNNNNNNNNNNNNNNNNNNNNNNNNNNNNNNNNNNNNNNNNNNNNNNNNNNNNNNNNCUGUUGAGAUUCUUGAUUUCAGUGUCCGAAGACUAAGGAACAAAGAAGUUCCCUUGGUCAAGGUGUUAUGGCGAAACCAAUCUGUUGAGGGUGCAACUUGGGAAGCUGAAGCGGAUAUGCGAUCCAAGUACCCGUACCUAUUUUCCGCGAACUUCGAUCAAGCCGAAGGGACCGUUCAUUCCUAAAUCAUGCACUUUUGAUAAAAGUUUCAGCAGUUCAGCUGUCAUUUAUUAUGUGUUCAGCUGUAGUUUCUUGAAUUUAUGCAUUCUAUGUUGCAUUCGGAGUGAGAAACGAUGUGGUGAUGAGUCUAACGAAUGGUUUCAGACGUAUUCUCUAUUCCCUAUAUAAUAUUGGCAUGUUUAGCAUCAUUCGAGGACAAAUGUUUCCCAGGGGGGAUGAUGUAAUACCCCGGGAAAUUUUUCAUUAAAAUUUUGUGCGUAAACGUGUUGGGUUCUAUCUUCUAGAAUGACUUAAAAAUUUUCCUUACAAAAAGUCUUAGAUUAUUACCCACCAUUGCAUAGAUUAUCAAAUAAGAUUUCCAAUGAUAUGUGGAUCAUCCAAAACGGACACCCGAGCGACGAGUUAUGAACAUUCCGAUCGAAUCGUGAAUAGUAGUGAACAGUAAAACGUGCAGGAAAAAGUACUGAGGCCUAGAGUAUUUUUUCUCCAACUUUAAAUGAUCAUAACUCCUUGUACAUAAUGAUCUGGGUGAUAUACUAUAUAUCAAUGGAAAGCUCAGCGAGUCCUCUAUUCAAUGAAAUUGGUUUAAUCCAAUUUGUCUAUCGGACCAAAAAGUUAUGAUCAAUCUACUUCAGCCUAUCAAAAUUGAAUUUUUAGGUCAACUUCAAACGAUCAUAACUCCUCGUACACAAUGGUCUGGGUGAGAUUCUAUAUAUCAAUGGAAAUAUAUGAGAGUCCUCUUUCUAAUGAAAUUAGUUUCAUCCAAUUUGAAUANNNNNNNNNNNNNNNNNNNNNNNNNNNNNNNNNNNNNNNNNNNNNNNNNNNNNNNNNNNNNNNNNNNNNNNNNNNNNNNNNNNNNNNNNNNNNNNNNNNNNNNNNNNNNNNNNNNNNNNNNNNNNNNNNNNNNNNNNNNNNNNNNNNNNNNNNNNNNNNNNNNNNNNNNNNNNNNNNNNNNNNNNNNNNNNNNNNNNNNNNNNNNNNNNNNNNNNNNNNNNNNNNNNNNNNNNNNNNNNNNNNNNNNNNNNNNNNNNNNNNNNNNNNNNNNNNNNNNNNNNNNNNNNNNNNNNNNNNNNNNNNNNNNNNNNNNNNNNNNNNNNNNNNNNNNNNNNNNNNNNNNNNNNNNNNNNNNNNNNNNNNNNNNNNNNNNNNNNNNNNNNNNNNNNNNNNNNNNNNNNNNNNNNNNNNNNNAUGUUUAUGAUUUUGAAAGAUGAAUUUACAUGUGUGGAGAUAUAAAGCAUGAUUUUGAUAUUUGGGUCGUGAAUGCCCAUUGGAAAUUGUAUUUUUUUUGAGAAAGUGUGGGUUAUAAGCACGUUGAUGUUAAAUAUUUGAGAUAUUUUGAAUGAUUUGACCUUUUGGUAUUAAUGGAGUUGUUUUGAACUUGAGUGUGAAAGAAAUCUACAACGUGGUUGAUUUUGAUAGAUGGAAAGCAUGAUGGCUCCCGAUGUAUAUUUAUAUAUUACUGAAAUUUUUUUGCUGUGGAUUGUCUUUGAAAUGAUAUGAGCUAAGUCCGGGAGAAAUCUUUAGCACCGAGUAGGAGGUAUAAAGCGACCUUACUUCCCUAGAACUACGUGCCCCCAUAGGAGUGAGCCUGAGGAUGAUUUAUAUAGUGAUUACUAGUUUGUUUGGAUUUGAUAUCGAUAGUCCUACUCCUAUGGAAAGGAUAGGAUAGAUCUCCCCAACGUGGGUUGUACAUUGGACUCUAUGUAGCUCACAUGGUUUAUUUCGGUUAUAGGAUCUCCUGGUGUGUGUGUGUUUCCUUGUUUCUAUGGUGAAUAGUGAAGUGAUUUGAAAGUGGAAUUGUGAAAGUUAUUCUUUCAAAAGAUUUAAAUGAUAUUUACAUUAUCAAAAUUGAUAUUCUUGAUGACUUGAAAGUGAUUGACAAAAUAUAUGAUGACUCACAUAUGUUAUUCUGCUUAUUUCAUCCUCUCAUGAUUAUGAUGAUUUUCUUUAGGCUAUGUGAGUCUUUCAUACAUCCUGCAUAUUUCUUUAAAAUAUUUAUGAUGAUGAUGUUUAUACAACUGCAUACACCCCCAUAUACUCGGUUCCUUUCCAUGGUACUGACCCGUAUCUUCGGAUAUGGGCUGCAUUUUCUUGGAAUGUAAGUUCAGGUGCUCAGUUCUAGGUUUGGUAGUGAUUCUUCGGGCAUGAUGUUCUACAUCUUCUGUUGCUCAUGUUCUGAGAAUGUGAUGUCUGAUGUUGGUUUCACGGAAUUGUUUACAUUUGAUAACUAAGUAUGAGUCAGUUGGGCAUGUCUCAAUGGCUCGCUGGUUUUAUUGAUUUUCUUAGAGGCUUGUCAGACUAGUAUAGAUGUUGGGAGUUGACUAAUAAGUCGCAUUUUGUUAUGUUUUUGGAAUUCUUUUAUUAUUGGAUUAUGAUUACUCUGUUGAUAUUUUAGCCUCAAGCACCGUGUGACGCUCCGAGACCCGUUUUCUGGGGCGUUACAGAGAGAAUGGCUCAUCCCUUUCUUCCACUGCCAUUCUCUCUCACUCAUCCUCUUCCUCUUAUGGCUAGAUCUACAGUUAGAGUGGUACGUGAAGAGUUUGUUGGUUAUGUUCCAUUGGACCUUGUAUUAACCAUUUGCAAACAAAAGAAUGAAAAAUAUUUGAUACCAAUUUGGAUUACCAGAUACAAAUUGAAAUCAUUAUAUCACAAUAGAAACAAGAACAACAAAUUUACCAAAGCCCUAUAGUCUACUAAACAAUAGUAAGGAUGUCUUUGUACCAUUCCCCAAGACUCUACUGGAUCUAUUUUUAUAUGAUCUGGUGAUGAACCUAGUCUCUGAUACAAUUUUUGUCACAACCCAAACCUUUCAUUGCUGAAACCCAUUCUACUCAUAUGGUGGGGGAACUAUCUAACCCGUAAUACUAUCUCAAAAUCAACCCUUAGAAGAUUCAAAAUUUAAUCCAUCAAUAAAUAAAUUCAAAACUAAACCAAAAUUGAAGUACAUCUAAUAUUAGAACAUUUUAAUUGAGUAAACCAUCUUUAUGAACUGAAAGUCCAAAAUAUCAAUGAUUGUAAAAAAGGGGAUGCAACCCCAUAAGUUAAAAUUAAAUCAUAAUUCAAAAUAUAAAGAGCUACGUUAAGAAGGAGAUAACCUAUGGUAACCUAGACAUGCCGCUCACCAUAAAAUUUGAAAUCAUCUGCUAAAAUAAAUAGUGAAGUCCUGUAGGAAGCAUUGGAAUAUGUGUUUCACUCAAAAAAUUAAGAGAAGGUGUAGUAUCAACAUACAAGAAAACAAUGGUAUACUUAUUGUGUCAUUUAAACAACCCAAGGUGAAAAUAUGAACACAUAACUAAGUUAUAGUACAAUAAGUUAAUCCAUGCCCAACCAUCAUACACUUUGCAACACAAGUAUCAAAUAAACGACAUAGAAUUUUAAAUAACAAGUCAAUGUAUUAUUACCAUAUCAAUUUCAAUAAAAACCAAGUCAAAACAAUUCAAGAAGUUAAAUAAUUAUCUAAUAUAUAAAUAUAUUCCCCGGCUCGGAAUAUCUUGUUGCAGAAAUGUGAUCCUCCAUAACUUUUGAUAGUUCUUGGAACACUAAAGUGUGAAAAGAUACUCUUUCACACGAAGACAAAUAAUUUUUUGCCUUUAUUAUAUGCCAAAGAAAUAACUUCCACCCAUUUGGACAGGUAGUCCACAGCAACAAAGAUAUAUUUGUGGCCAUAAGAGCUUACAAAAGGUCCCAUGAAAUCUAUGCCUCAAAUAUCAAAUAGCUCCACCUCAAUUAUCUUGGUCAUUAGCAUUUAAUGAUUUCUCGAGAUAGAUCCCUGUCUUUGACAUUGAUAGCAAGCCCUUACAAAAUCAUAAGCAUCUUCGUGAAUUGAGGGUCAAUGGUAACCACUUUGUAAAUUCUUCCUUGUAGUCCGAUCAUCUACAUGGUGUCCCUCAACUGGGAUGAUGGAUUUCCUCUCAAAUGCUCAAUAUUCCUACUUCUGGUAUAGAACUUAUAAUAAUAUUUUAAGUAUAAUGUCUAAAAAAUAGGGUUCAUCAAAAUAAUACCUAGCAACAUCAUGUAGAAAUUUCUUGUUUUGAUGAAAUAAAAGGUUUUCUGGGAUAAUGUCACUGACAAAAAAAUUAGAAAAAUCUACAUAAUGGCACCAAAUCAAGAGUAGAAGAAAGGAACUACUCAUCUAGAAAAGAAUUAUUAGUUUUUAUCUCUAUAAUGAUAACUUUUGCAUUCUCUAACCUAGACAAAUGGUCUACUACUUGAUUUUCACACCUAUUCCGAUCUUUGACUUUGAAUUCCAAUUAUUGAAGCAAUAGUACCCAUCAUAUAACCCUCAAUUUGGCAUCUUUCUUUGUCAUAAGAUAUCUCAGCGCUGCAUGGUCAGUGUGAACAACUACCUUAGUUUAUAACAAAUACGCCCCAAAUUUCUUGAACGCAUAAACCAUAGCCAAGAGCUCUUUUUCCAUCAUAGUAAAAUUAUUUUUCACUCCAUUUAAAGACUUAAUAGAAAAAUAAAUAGGUUGAAAUAGUUCUAAUUCUUUAUCCUAAGAACAGCUCAAAGUGCAACCCGACUUGCAUCACAUAUUACUUGAAACAACUUUGACCAAUCUGGAGCAAUAAUAAUAGGCCAGUAACUAACUUCUCUUUAAGGCAUUAGAAUGCCUUCAUAUAAUCAUCAUCAAACACAAGCGUUCUCUCUUUUUCAAAUAGUUUUCAAAGUGAGUUUGUAAUUUUGAAAAAACCCUUGAUGAAUCUCCAGUAAAACCCUGUUUGUCCAAGAAAACUACAUAGGGCACUACAUAGAGCUCUUGUAUUAUAGGGAGAGAAGUCUGCUUCCUAAAUCCCAUUUUAGAGAGAAGGAAUCAUGCUCUAUAUGAUUUUUAGCUAAGUAAAUAAAUGGGGAAGAUGAAGAAAGAAAGCGCUUUGAAAGUUGUAAACCACACGAAAUCAGGCUUCACCUUAUCUACUAAGAGGCUUCCUCUGGCAACGACUUUCAUUUUCCCAAAGAUUGAAUUCUUACCAACAAAUGCUAGAAGCAUCACUCUGACGCUAGGAGCUUUCUUUCUUCCCCUUGUUAGCAAUCCUUUUUCGUUUCUUACAUGAUAGCUUUCGAAGCAAGCUAGUCAAGAAAUAACAGCGGGAUCAGGGAAUGUGAACUAAAACAGUACGGGAAGAGCCAUCCUUUUCCUCUCAAGUGAGAGCAGCUGAAAAGAAGUCAAGGAAUCUAGCUAGAAGCUUAAAUGAAUCUCUUUGGUGAGGUCAAGAAUCCAUCUAUUCAAUUGGGAUAUUAGAGAAGUAAAGGGUAGAAAAAUCUUCCUUUAGUAAGUAAGGUCCAUAGAUUCGUAUGAGUUGCUUUGUCUUUAAUAAGCGUAGGCAGUAAAGGUACAUGUAUGUAUAGGAGCCGGGAUGAAAUCUAAAUCCAAGACUUGAAAGUGGAAUCACAACUAUCAAAGUAAGUAGGUCAAUGCCAAUGAAAAAAGACAUAGUUUAGCUUAGUCUAGUCCUAAGGAAAGCAAAUGACAUAGAAUAAGAUGUCAUCUUAAGUUCUCUUUAAAUGGGGCACAAAGUCUAAAAGAAAAAGUAAAGUGCGAAGGGCACUCCUUAAACUGCUUUCUAGUUGAAGAUGGAGGUGAGGGAAGGCCAAAGGAAUAACAUAAUUAGUAACCUCUUGCAGAAUUAUUCUUGUAUAAGUUAGAAAUAAGACUAGAAAAAGAGAAUUCCUUUUGGUUAAGAUAAAGAUUAAUGGAUAGAAAGAUUCAUGGGUCGAACCAAAAAGAGCUCAGCUCAGGGGCCUGUGUACCUUAUUUCCAAGAUCCGGUGGAUAGCUUUCAUAUUCCCUAGGGCUUUCAUUAAGAUGGAGGGGCAGUCUGAAUUUAUCAACAAAAGAUGAAAGUAAGAGAGGCAAUUAUUAAUAUUCUUUGAUCCCAAAAGCCCAACACUCAGAUUAGGAAUUCUUGUUUGAACCUUCCAUUCGUAAGCCAAUCAAUCAAAAAGACAAGUCAGCUAUAAUUCGACACCUUCCACUGAUAAAGCAUGAUAUCAAAGGAAAGAGUCACUAAAGAAGGUAUUUCUAACAAAAACUUCACCUGUCGCAGAACCAUAACCCAUCACUUGGCCUCUCCAUGAAUGUGCAUGCCUAAAUCUUCGUCAUUCUCUUCCACCUAAAGCAAGAAUGGCAUAAUCAAUCACAUCUGCAACCAAAAUCCAAGCCGGCGAAUAAGCAAGUGAUUGGUCUUUUUUAGUCUUUACUAGCUUGAUCGGCAACUGGGAUACAAACGAAGGAGUUUUUAGAAUGACUUCAAUCGGCACACACAACAUUACCCCAACUCUUCCUUAGCCUCUUAGACUGCCUUGCCUGACCUUAAGCUUUUUGCUCCGUGCGUUAAUUCUUCUUUAACGAGAACUUUAAGAUGAGGGAGUUAGAAGUCGGAUUUAAACCUUGACUCUCCCUAUAUGAGAUUUCUUUAAAGUCCGCUUCGAAGCUUCCAGGUUUACUUAUUUUAUAUUAUGGUUAUAGAGAAUAACUCGAUCCCUUACUUCCAUUAGUCAGGCGUAGGUAUCUCAUAUCUUUAGCUAGAAUUAUUCCUUUUGCAUAUAUAUAUAUCAUCGAUAAAAAAGAAAUGAUUUGACUUUCCCAUAGUUUUCUUCAAAAAUCUUUCUUUUCUCUUUUCUUCUCACCUCAUAGUUUUGAAAUGAAUGUCUUUUUUCUUCUUUCUUCGCCUUCACAUAGAAGAAUGAAAGGAGAAAUCAAUGCUCUAAUGCUGGGAUAUCUCACGUGUCCGAUAACAAGAACGUCAUCUAUGGCCUUAGGUCAUCUUUCUAUUCAAGAAAACUACGAGGCUUUUAGUUUCGUUUCAUCUAGUCUGUACGCAAAGAAAACAAGCAAUGGAAUAACCUAAAACUCAUGUUGACAAUUUUCAAUUUCAAUUUUCGUUUCAUCUUUACUGUCUCUAAGUAUGCCUCCUACACCAAUUCUUCUCGGAUUCUCUAGUGCACUACCAUCAGUAUUCAAUUUUACCAUGGAACGAAGGGGUUUGUACCAACAGAUUUGAAUAACCUAAAACUCAUGUUGACAAUUUUCAAUAUAGAGCACCAAAUCCCUCCAAUUUGUAGGCCCAAGUAAUGUAAGGAUAAGUAGUGAUCAGAAACAUACCAUAAAUAAUGGCUAAUAUAAGGGUAAUCAUGUUAGUAUGAUAAUUUGAUUCUAUAGCAUAAUUUUGAUUUGGCCAUACCCUCAUAAUAGAACUUUUGUUGUUAGAGGCUUGAUAGCUAUGAUGUUGUUUUUUUGGAUUUCUAGCUAUGAAGUUCUUUUUUCUGCUUUCUAUCUAUGAAGUCAUUUUGAUAGCUAUGAAGUUCUUUUUCUUUUUAGGCUUUUCUCGCUAUGAAGUCAUUUUGUGCUUUCUAGCUAUGAAGUCAUUUUCCGCUUGAUAGCUAUGAAGUCGUUUUUUCUAUCUGUAACACUCAUGUCUAGUUGUCAAUGGCCUCAGGGACAAUUAUGUGAUCCUAUUCAAUCCCAUAUACAGGAUCAAUAGAUUUUAUACACUUACUUGUAUAUAAUGACUAUCAUAAGUGUAUAUACUUACUAUGAUAAGUAUCUACUUACUUAUUCUAUUAUUUUCCCUGAGGAUUAUGAUUUAUUUGUAUGUACUUUCCCUAAAGAUUAUGAUUUAUUUGUAUGUUCUUUACCUAAAGAUUCACAAGAGUUUAUAUGUACUCUAAUAAGUGGUUACUUACUAUAAGUAGUGUCUACUUACUUAUGCUAUUAUUUCCCUAAAGAUUAGAAUAAAUGUAUAUAUAUAUUUUUUUGUAUGUUUGAGUUUGUUUUAGUCCCGCCGGUAGGGAGUUCGGAAAGUCGGAAGUAGGUUGUAAAACCAGAUUUCAAAGGAAUAAAGUACUUGUUGUAUGAGGACUUUCAAAUGCGGAAACCCCAAUUAGGAUGAUUGUUCUUGUGGCUAUUGGCUUCGCAUACCCAUGGAAGAGGUUUCUUUCAAAAAGUGGUACUCAUCAUUUUCUUUUCAAAAUGGGUUGUGUCUGUCCGAGCUCCUAAUCUUAGCUUUAUAGUCUUAUAUAGUCUUAUAAAGUACUUGGUCCUGUACAAACUAGAAAAUGAAAAUCAAUAAUUUCUCUACACAAACAGGGAAAGAGAAUGAACUAGAACAAAUUGGAUUUUAUUCAUUCCAACACUAGAAGCAUUUUCUUACAUGGGAAACACAUAUAGACCAGCCACAAAACACAAUAUUACAAAGGGAAACAUUAGUGAUACAUACAGAACAAAGACACAACAUAUAGGAGCAUAUUUCCACAAAGAAAAACAACACCUUUAAUGAAAACACAUUACAAAGCGUCUACAGACACUUGUUUAAACCUUCUUCAACUCCAGACGAGUUGACUGACUCUUAGUUGUUUCAACCGUUGAUGUGGAAGGCCAUACUAACUAUAAGGUCCUCCCUUUCUCGGAUGAGGGUCCUCUCCUCUUCUUCCAAUGUGCGGAUUAGGUUUAGGAGCUGUUGAAUGCAUAGUUCCACUAGCACCAAAAAAAGAGCGAGCACGUUUUCUAAAAAGGCCUGUAGAGUUUGCCGUCGUUGGCACUUUUCAUUUUUCAUAUGGAGAAUUCUUUGAUUCAUUUGAAAAAGUCUUUCAAUUGUGGCUGGAUCCAUCUCUAUCUUUCCUUUGCUAAAUAGAGAAAACGGCUUCUAUUUAUACACAUUGGAAGCCCUUUCUCUUUCUUAUAAUAUUAUUUGUAACCCUAUUUUUAUUAGGUUGUCUUGGUUCCAUAACAUGGUUUAAACCUGGUUUUUCAUGAAUAUGGAACCCCAUCCACUAGAUUUUAGUGCGCUGAAUAAUUGUCCUUUCCUCGUACGCAUUUGACUAGGAAAGGCUCCCUUUAUUUUGACGGGUAUCGCCAUGUGGCUUAAUCCAGGAUCAAUCCUUAAGGAAUAGUAAAAAAUAAUAUAGCGCACAUCAGAGAAGAGAGUACCCCAUUUAUUAUAAGAUAGCCCCCCCGUAUCCUUUCUUAAGAGAUGGAGAAAUCCUCACAUGAUAACUCAAAGUUGACUAGUUCAACCCGUAUGCUUGCCUACUCAUCUUUCACUGGCCUAUUUGUACCCAACUAUAAUCUCUUCCCUUAUAAAGUAAAAAAUGGGCCCCUCAGCUAAUCCUCAAUCGACAACAACUCCGUCCAUGCAAAGUAAAGUCUCUACCUUUAUCGCUUGAUUGAUCUAAUUAGACACUCACUCUUCCAUACUUUUGAUAGAAGAAUAAGAGCACAAGUUAUCCUUAGUAGUAUACUACAAUAUCUCUAUAUCUCUUAGAAAAUGAGUUUGAUAAAGAAAUUCUCUAUAAUCAGCAAAAUGAACAUAGGAAUACAUCCACCCUUAAGAGAGAAAAGAGAAUCCUUAAAAAGUAUCUCAUCCACCCUUAAGAGAGAAAAAUGUUAGAAUGCUUAAAAAAUGAAUAUAAGAAUCCAACCACACCAAAAUCGAUGGUACUAAGUCCUCCAGCCUUUCAUACAUUUGGAGAACUUCCAGCUAUCAAGGAGACAAAAAGCUAUGUAAUGUAAAAGAAGAAAGGGUCGCCGAUUACUACAAAGAACCUAAUGGAUCUGAUGCGAAAUAAAAAAAUACAAUGAUGAAAAACUAACCUUGUAAUAGGUUCGUAUUACUUAUAAAAAUAAAAAUACAUGUCGUUAUGGUUGUAAGUAUUGAGAAAUUUGUGAAUGAUUGCCAUUGGUCAUAUUGCUCAUAUGAUCCUAUCAUCUCGGUACUGGGAAAUUAUCUAUUAUUGUAAAACAUGAUAGGCCGUGUAAUAGAUUUCUGGGGUCAAUCUUGAUCCUUGAUAGAAAAUAAUAUAGUACAUCUAAUCAUACUGUUAUUAAUGAGUUUUGGGAAAAUUUUUACAGGGAUAUAGAUGAUAAAAGCAGAAAUAAAAAAGAAAAAGCUACGUAUAAUAAUAAUGUUAUGAAAUUAUUAUAUGAUUAUAAGAGGGAUGAAAAGAUCAUUAAUAAUACAUCGACAUCUCGGAUGAAGAAUUACUUGAGUUAUAGAAGAAGAUUGAAGAUAUAACUAGUCAAUUUGAUGAAUGUAGUAUAUUUAAUGAAAUUCCUAACUUAAUCAAACUAUCGAUAAGAAAGGAUCUUAUAAACUCUAAAUCUUAUUUAUAUAAAUAUCUUCCUCAAGAUAUUUAGAAUAAUACUAUUAACCAGUUCGAUCAAUAUACGCUGGAGGCUAUCAUAAUAUAUGGCUUAGGAUUGUUGUACAACUGUACUCAAGACACCUCAGUUGUGAGGGUAUCUACAUUGUUGGACAAGUUAGAUAGCAUAGUUCGAAUACAGGUCAAUAUAAUCAGUAAGAAAAAUAUGGUUAGUAGUACAGCAACAAGUAGUCGAGUUGAUAACAAAGGUCAUAAAUAUCAAAUUGGUAAAGGAUUGCUCGAGUUCAUUAUUGAAAAAAAGUUGAUCAAAAUUGAGAUACUUUCAGCAGACGAUAAUAAAGUAGUAGUGAAAGAGAAAGGAAAGGGUUAUCCUAAAAUGAAUUUAUUUCUAUAUGUGAUUUUGAAAACAAUCUUAUCCCUUUGAAACUCAAUCUUCCAAUGGUUUGCAAGACUUUAAAGCUGACCGAAAUACGUUAUACCUAACGAACUAGGGUAGCUGUGCGACUCUCGCUAGUAUUGACCUCCUGGUCUAGUAUCGAUGGUGGCUCCUUGGAUGAGUCCUUGUUUAGUUAGGAGUAGUUUAUUGCAACCUUUACGCACUAAUGAAAAACCACUUCCAGUUUUUAGCUAAUGAAAGUUUGUCCUUUCAUUAUAGGCAUCGGGGUGAUCCAUUUCGGGACAACCUCAGCCACAUGGGCGCUGGUAGUGAAUUGAUCAUGGUAAUAAGUACGUAUCGAGAAAAAUUCAAAUUCAUACUUGAAUCCCACUGGCUCACCAAAAACUAGGCCAUUCAUCCCUAUUUUUCUAAUCGAACUCAGAGGGAGGUGUAUUUGCUAAUUUAGGCUUUUUAUUCAGAUUCUCUAAGGCUUGAAAUGGAGUGAUUACAUUGAUUUCCUUCCUUAUGUGGGUUUACCUCAUUUUGGUAGUCUCUUAUUCAAUUCAUCCCUACCCAAUCAUAGUAAAUUGUGUAGGAAAAAGAGUCUUAUACCCUUCUAAUCAGAGAAGGUGCAUUUCCUUCAACCUUUAUGCUUUUCAACUUGAACAACUUUUCCACAACAAGGAAUUCUUUCUUUUGUUGAGAGGGUGGAUCUUAUAAGAAAACUUUCCCCUUUUGGUCCGAAUGCCUAUCAUCCUUGGUGGUAUCGUAGUACACGUCUUUUUUUAUUAGCCUUUGAAUAAUUCUAGUCUUUUAGGUGGAUUCAGUCUCUCUCCCCUUAAAAAAGAUAAAUAGUCAAGUGAAAGGAGCCUACUUCUAGGUCGCUCACAGGAGAAGCAUUGAACUUUUUACUUUUCCCUAUUGACUAUGAUAAGACUAAUAAGUCAGGGCAAGCUCUUACUUAGAGAGAGUUAGUUGGGUAGGGUCAGUAGCUCUAAGAUCACAUCGGAUUCUAACCUUAAGGUGACUUCACUCCCUUUAAAGACGACUAAAGACUAACAAAGGUAGGGCAUGAGAGAGGGAAACAAAGCAAGAAGACAUCGUCACAUCAUAGCGGGUUAAAAACUUAGGCUUAGUGAAUCCCUACUCAAAUUUCAUAUGUAAUGUAAGGAAAUCCUCUCUGUUAAAAGCGGAUAUUUCUAAAUGACUUUCUGAAGCAAAGACUAGAAAAUAAAUGAGAGAGAAGACAACCAGUCCAGCUAGUAACUGAAUUUCAUGCUUUCAAUAUUAAUGCAUUUAUUCUCUCUAGGGUCAUUAAACUAGUUGAAUGGAAUUCUUUUACAUGAGUACAACAUGUCAAAUAUCAAAGUCGUUUGAUCCCUUUACCAAUCAUAGAAGAUGACUUAUUAUAUCUCCUCGCUAUCUCCAUUGGUUGAAUGGGGGGUAUCAAAAGAUCUUUGCUUACCUUAGCCUUAGAUAGAGGAUUUACAUGAAUUUCAUUAGUUCCUAGCGCAACAUAUUAGAAUUCACUAUAAGGUUAAGAGUGACUUGCUUAGACUGCUGAAUAACCUUCACUUUAGCGAGCUGUAGGACAAACUACAUUCAACAGGAGAAAGAAAACUUUAAAUAGAAUGGUCAGUGCCCGUAACAGUCCUGGAGUUGGGUUAUGAUAGUCGUGAUGAGCUCUACUAGAAUGAAAAGCUCUUCUAUUUAUAGAUGAAUUCCUAUCUAAGGGCUUUCGUUGCCCUUGAAUUUCGUUCCCAAGUUCAAUUUGGAACUCUAGAAGUGUAAGUAGCGGCCAAGCGGCUCUGUCCUUUUCAAAGAGAUUAUCCUUCUCUCUCCCCACUUCUUAGUCUUAUAGGAUAGCUCACCAUUCAAGUAGGUCACUUUUCCCGACGCUUACUAUCUCUUUUCUAGCAUAAUUAUAGCAGUCCUUUUUUAGUACCUCCUUUCCAACCAGUCAAGUGGCUUUCACUCCUGGACAGUCAGUCUAUUACCUAACCCUAAUCCCAUGCUUUCCAUUGGUCAACAACCAACUAAAGUUAUCUAUACUUCUUCACCACUUGUAAAGUCUUGACGGAUUUAAGCUAUAUUGAGGGAAUCGUUUGGUCUCAAUUAAUCAAGAAUGCCUUAACUAGAUAAAUUCACUUAUUUCACACUGGAUCUAGCGCAGAUCAUCUCUAUCCCACUUGAACAAUUUGAAAUAAUCCCAUUGAUUCCUAUGAAAAUAGGAAACUUAUAUUUCUCAUUCACAAAUCUAUCUUUGUUUAUGCUACUAACUCUUAGUUUGGUCCUACUUUUAGUUUAUUUUGUUACUAAAAAAAGGGGAGGAAACUCCGUACCAAAUGCUUGAAAAUCCUCGGUAGAGCUUAUUUAUGAUUUUGUGCUGAACCCAAUAAACGAACAAAUAGGUGGUCUUUCCAGAAAUGUUAAACAAAAUUUUUCCCCUCGCAUCUCGGUAACUUCUACUUUUUCAUUAUUUUGUAAUCCCCAGGGUAUGAUACCUUAUAGCUUCACAGUUACAAGUCAUUUUCUCAUUACUUUGGGUCUCUCAUUUUCAAUUUUUAUUGGCAUUACUAUAGUCGGAUUUCAAAAAAAAUGGGCUUCAUUUUUUAAGCUUCUUAUUACCUACAGGAGUCCCACUGCCAUUAACACCUUUUUAGUACUCCUUGAGCUAAUCCCUUAUUUUUUUUGAGCAUUAAGCUUAGGAAUACGUUUAUUUGCUAAUAUGAUGGCCGAUCAUAGUUCAGUAAAGAUUUUAAGUGGGUUUGCUUGGACUAUGCUAAGUAUGAAUGAUCUUUUAUAUUUCAUAGGGGAUCUUGGUCUUUUAUUUAUAGUUCUUGCAUUAACCGGUCUGGAAUUAGGUGUAGCUAUAUCACAAGCUCAUGUUUCUAUGAUCUUAAUCUGUAUUUACUUGAAUGAUGCUAUAAAUCUUCAUCAAGGUGCUUAUUUUUUAUAAUGGAACAAAAGCGAGUCUGAAUGGGUAUACUUAGAUGUGAAGCAUUUCGACUCUUUGCUUUAGGGAUCGUUCCUGCGCAUCUCCUUACUUUAUAGCAGUUAUAGCUUCGGUUCCAGAAGGUAUAUAGCUCUCACCACAACUUUUUCUUUAAAAUUGGAGACUAUUCCAAUUUCCUACAGAGAUAGGCAAGUGGAGGAAGAACUAUAUGUAUCUUACUAGGCAAAGACAGGUUAGAAUAGAUAGCUCGCGGGUGGGAUUGACAUGAUAGAUCACUAUUGCAGAAGGAGGUAGAACUGGGGGAAGAGUUUUCUCUAUAAAGGUCCUCGCCCUCUUAGGAACAUGGUUCUAAAGAUUCAAUCUCAAGGCGGUACUAAAGAUUAGGCAGAAGAAGAACUAGAACUCAAAUUCUUCACCCCUCCCCUUGUACUAAGAAGUAAGUUCAGAACAUAAGGAUAAUGGGCUCAUCUAUUAGAAGUUAUUAGUUUAUGGAGCUAUCUAAAAUUUCUCGAGUAAGGAGAUGGGACAGGAUUGAUAAUUAGAGUUCUAUUUCUAGGAAGGAAGAGACUAUCGGGAAGCUCACUCUUGGCUGGGCUCAAACAAGAAGGUAGAACGUAAUAUCUCUUGUUAGUUCAUCUCAUCAUGCUAUUACAAAAGAGUCCUCAAAGAAAGAAAGCAGCAAGUCAGUCUGCACAUAACAUACUCUCUCAGUUCUUCUCCUUUUAUGACCGGUUGAAGGGGAAUGGGCCAACUCGAAAUGGACCAAUUCAAGAAAAGGGUCAAGAUAUGGUGAUGCGGUCAGAACAAGGAAUGCUUUCUAGGAGGGUAACGCGAAUUGUGAUAUAUCUCAAUAGUUAACGGAAAGGAAUAGGUAAGAGGAGAAGUUUUGUUUGCAAGCGAACCCAAUAAUACCAUGAGGCAGAGAGCCUUUCAAUAAAGCCUGCACCCACUGGGAACAAAUAAUAAUAUACCUUGCCAGAGUUUUCCCAUAAAGGGUCUUAAACAACAUAAGAAAAAGUUUCACUGACUGCUUUAUCCACAAGAAUGUCAUAAAGGUUCUCUCCGGUCUUCCUCAAAAAGAUAGCUUUAGAGCGUAAGUCAAACUCAUGAUAGGCGAACAAUCACGCGCACAGGGUUUAGCAUUUUGCUGUGCUCUGUGAUCUUAUUCUUAUCCAAGACCCGAUGCUUCAUCUGCUUCUUUAGCUUAGUAGGACUUCAAACACACUAUUGCGUGAAAGAUUUUGCAAUUUUAUUCCUACGAAUCCUUCGGAGCAAGGGGUUAAGGCCAAGGGCGGAAGAAUUAGGGAAAUGCCUCUUCCAGGGAGGUAUAGAGCUUCUAACCACGUGUACCAACUGUCUAGGGGAAAGUGUGUAAAUCAUCUCAUAGAGAGAACUGAGAACUAGCACUUAAACUAUAGGAAUAGAGGGCAGAGCAAACAUUAAAGAAACAGAAAAGUUCUCGGCAAAGUCGUGGAUAUCUAAUUGGAUUUAGAGCGAAAUCUCAUUUUUAUUUGGAAGGUUGAUAUAGCGGAAAUUCCAGUUUUCCCUAAAGUAGAAAAAAUGAGACAAUGAAGUCGCGAUGGCUACCUUACUAUCUUAGUCCAAAUAAGGGUUCUAAGGAGGAAAUGGAUCAUCACCUGGCCCAAUAGACUCUAUCUUCCCCCUCAAACCUAGUUCUUCCAAUAGGGAAUACCCUCCUUUAUCAUCAAAGAGAACUUUCUCAUUCUUUCUAAUGAAAAUAUAAAUGUUGUUGAUAAAUCUAUGUAAUGCUAUACCUGGAAACCUUUUAGGAAACUGACUAUCGAAAAGAUUCUUUGAGGCUAUAUCGAGUAAAACCCAAGUGAUAUCACCCACAGGUGGUAUGCCUGAACUACCACUGCUUGUGUAGACGCGAAUACCUCCCAAAUCUUCAAAAAUAGUGAGGCUAAGAAAAAAUGAAAUUAAUCUAUAAACUGAUCCAUCUCCAACUAAAGGAUUUAACCACGAUUUGAUCAUAGAGGAAGGAAUUUCUCUUAUUUAUUCCCCCAAGUCAAUCCUGUACAGUCUAUCUACCCUUUCCUCUUGUUGAAGACAAGAAUAAAAAGAAGAAAGUAGACAAUCGAUUUGGUAACCUUUUUUCGGCAUCUUACUACAAUAAACACGAAGUAGGGUUAUGGAUAGCCCCAUUAAGACCAAUGCAUCCUCUUUUCUAGAGGGCAUAAUUACAUGAAUUAUAUCUUCUCCACCACCUCUCGUAAUCAUAAAUUCUGGUCGCUUAGGUAUUAACCCCUUUAAAAAGUCCCUUAUAUCUCUCCCCAUUACUCACUUUAUUUCUAGGGGUGAUAGAACAUAUCCCCCCUAAUAAUAAGAUUUUGCAUAUGAAAGAGUCUAUCGAGAGGCAUAUCCACAAAUGGAGGAUUUUGACUCUAAACGAAGGAAUCUGAGCUUUAUCAACAUCGAUAAACUUUCUAGCUUAUGUGGGUAGCUGGUGGAACUCCUUAAAAGUGCCAGAAAUCUCCUUAUCAAUGGAAUAAUUAGCUAGGCUAUCUGCCACAACAUUUCCUUCCCUGUAAACAUGAGAAAAUCGAAUUUAUUUAUCCCUCAACAAUGUAAUAAUUUUCCUAACUAUUGUAUCAACAACCCAGGGUGCAGACACCUCUUAUAUCGUGAUCAGUCUAACAAUGGUUGAAUCAGUCUCAAUCAUCAUUUUUGUGAAGCCUUUAUGCACACAGAUUUUAGCAGCUAACUGAAUAGCCAUUAUCUCUUAAUACAUAUUAGUUUGAACGGGUAGCAGCACACAAAAAAUCACCAACAACAUCUCUAAACACUACAACAACACCACUCUUACCUGGAUUACCUAUUGAUGCACCUUCUAUGUUACAUUGAAUCCAUUGUCCACUAGGGAAUUCCCAACAUACUAUUCUAUAAUGUAGCCUGGGAUUGUAGCUUUCCAACUCACUAACCAAUUCAGGCCGAUUAGAAUACAAUCUUUUCAUCUUAGGAAACCUGUACACUAGUAAAUUGUGCAGAGUUACUGAAACCAGAGAAAUUAGCCUGUUCAAGGAGAUAUUACUACUAUACCUUCUUUUCUUUCUCCUAUUCCAUAGCUCCCAGACAACUACACAGGGCAAUGCUUGAUAUAAGGGUUUUAGAUAUACAUUUGCAGGGUGUUUCCACCACCUUUGAAAUACCUGCUAUAAGCUAACACCAUGUGUAACACCUGCACCUAAGGAAAACUCUUCAGAAAAAGCUACUGCAUGGUUUCUAUUAUUGGUCGAUUACAACACUAAGACCUUGAGGGCAUUGUAUAUCUAAGUCUUGUCAGAAUGUCAUCCAAAGGAAGUUUGUAAUGUCACAGUCUCCAUGAGAAGAAAGAUAUAUUGAUUGGCAACCAUAACACUCUAACGCACGUCAUUAUGGCACUUUGGAAAACUGUCGAUCGCCACCUCGUGUAAGUAACCGUUGGUUACAAAUGGGAAUAAUCAUGCACUAUCAUAGUCGCUUCUAAUUUCUUUGGAGAUUCUCAAUGUGGCAUGUGCUGAAAUCCGCCUAGCUACUUAAUACUCUACUUAACAGCAAAUACAAAAUGAAAUGGAAUUUAAAUUGGUCAAGAAAAAGAACCGCGCUAGUAAGAAUUUGGGGAAAGAUUGAGAGCUAUCUAGGCUCUCCUGAUCAAAUUGAGAGUUUGCUUUGCCAGUCCAUGAAUAUACCACACCCAGCAGUUGAAGGAGUUGGCCAGAUAUGGGUCGAAGCCCUGCUUAGAAAAUGUCAGGACUUUUGGGCAGAUUCUAGUAUCCAACCUAUCUUUUUCUGCCGAUUCCUCGAGUUGUCCGGAUCUCUAUUUCGAUCAGGACUAAGAGUCCUAUUCAUUCGUUUAUGGGAGUGACUCUCUUUUUCCAUUCUCCACAGGUUAUCAAGUGAUUAGUCAUCUCAAUCCAUUUUUCCAUUCGAUGAUCUCCACCCUAGGACUGACUUUGUUC
rnacentral:lncRNA from 1 species